rnacentral:lncRNA from 1 species
ACUUGUUAAUGGGUUUUAUGGCCCUAGUGUCAAGCGUCAGAAGCUCGAAGAUAUCAUGAAAGCUCGAGAGACAAGCUCCACGGUAAUCAAAAGUGAGGUGCUCGGACGAGACAAGGAGAGGGACCGAAUAGUUGAAUGGCUGAUCAAACCGGGAGAUGGCGAUGUUGAUGUCUCCGCUUAUACAAUUGUUGGUAUCGGUGGGCUCGGGAAGACCACUCUUGCUAAACUAGUCUAUAGCGAUGAAAGAGUGCGAGAGCACUUCGACUCGAUUAUGUGGGUCUGCGUUUCUCUGGACUUUGAUGCAGCUGCGAUAAUAAGAAAGAUAUUAAACUACUCUCACUCAACUAGUCUAGAGGCUCUCCAUGAGGAUCUUAAACAAAAAGUUACAUCAAAAAGGUUUUUGCUCAUACUGGAUGAUGUUUGGAACGAUGAUAAAACGAUGGAGUGGGAGCAAUUGGUUGAACCUUUGAAAUUCGGACAGAGAGGAAGCAAGAUCCUGUUGACAACUCGGAUGGAUUCAGUUGCGGAUAUGGCGGCAAAAGCGAUGAAAUGCAAACGGGAAUCAUUAAAUCUAAAUGAGUUGGAGGAGAGCGACUGUAUGUCGCUUUUCAAUAAUUAUGCAUUCCUCGGUGUGAACCCUGAUGAUUAUAGAAACCUGCAGCUAAUCGGUGAGCAGAUAGUGAAGAAACUUGGAGGAAGCCCAUUGGCCAUAGAAGUCAUAGGAGGAAUGCUGAACUACUGCAUGGAGUAUGAAUAUUGGAAGAAAGUCCUGGAAGAAGACAAGAUGAAAUUACAAGAAGGAAACGACAACAUCAUGGCAGUUUUAAGAUUAAGCUACGAUCACUUACCCACAGACUUACAACUCUGCUUUAGAUAUUGCAGUUUAUUUCCGCAGGAUUAUACGUUUAAGAGAAAAAAGUUGGUCAAUAUGUGGAUAGGUUCGGGUCUGAUUCCGAAAUCUAUUUGUGGCGGGCAAAGGCCAGAGGAUAAGGGAAAGGAGUAUUUAAAUCUUCUGACAAGAAAAUCAUUCUUUACUUGCACAACCUAUAAUAAUGGGUCGAAAAUUACUAAACAAUAUUUUAUGCACGAUCUACUGCAUGACCUAGCACAAUCAGUUUCUCGAGGAGAAUGCAUCAGAAUAGGAAGGGAUGAUGCAAGAAUUACUAUUCCACUGACUGUUCGACAUUUAUCUGUUGAAAAACUCAAUGUUCCUUCCAUUAGAGAGAUCUCCGUUCUUAAGAACGUGCGCACUCUAAUUGCUUCUGUUAAAGAGGAUAAUAUACCUGAAUUUAUCGAGGUUAUAAAAGGGUUUGAAAAGUUACGCCUAUUGAGCUUAUGCAACAAUUUUGAUUUUAGUAAAUCACCUGGUGCAUUUGAUAGCUUGAUACACCUCCGCUACCUAUCACUUCCACAACAGAUCGUUGAGAACAGAAGUAUUGGAUAUGAUGGCUUGACCAACUUGGUCAAUUUGCGUUCAUUUGAUGUUUCCAAUCAUGUGAUAAGAAAUAUUCCUUAUAUUAGCAAAUUACCCUUCAUCCACAAAUUACAGGAGUUUAUUGUCCGAGAGGAGAAUGGUUACAAAAUCAGUGAACUGAAGAACCUCAAGGACCUUCGUCACCUGCGUAUUGAUGAACUUGAAAAUGUGAGGAGUUCUGAAGAAGCCAUUGAGGCCAAUUUAAAUGGGAAAGAAUGUCUCAAAUCAUUGUCGUUGGACUGGUCUGUAGAUCGCUCUAAUUGCACAGAGGCGGAUGAGCAGCUCCUCGAUAACCUCUGCCCUCAUAUCAAUCUCAAUAAACUGUGCAUUGCACGAUACCAAGGUGCUAAAUCUCCAUGUUGGAUGACAGGUCUGUCGCUCAUCAAUUUGACAUCUAUCGAACUGAGGUUCUGUCAACAAUGGGAGCACCUCCCCCCUCUCGGGCAGUAUUCUUCGCUCCAAUCUCUAUGCUUGAUGGGACUGUAUGCAAUAAAGCAAAUAGAUUGUUCAUUCUUCGGAAGCAACAGCAGAUGUGCCUUUCCAUCAUUGAAGAAGUUACAGUUAUGGUACAUGCGUAACUUGGAGGAGUGGAUUGGAAUUGAUGAUAAGUGCAUGUUUCCUCAACUUCAUUUUAUGAGUAUUAUUGACUGCCCUAAUUUGAGGGAAAUUCCUACUCUGCCUUAUAGUCUAAGACAAUUGCUUAUUUCAAAGGUCGGAUUGACUGCUCUUCCAACAAUAAAUCAGGAUUACGCAAACAACAAUGUAAGUGCUUUAUUUUAUAAACUUCAAAUUUCUCCUGAGGUUUAGAUUAUUUUCACUUGCCCCCCUUACUUCAAAAGGUAUCACUUUGCCCCCUUCCCCCCGUGGUUUAGCCUAUUUUUAUUUUUGUCUAUCUCGUGGUUUAAAAAGUUACACUUUGCCUCCUUUGGUUUAGUUCAUUUUUCACUUUGCUAUCCUAUAAUUUUUUUAAAACAUUUUUAAUAUGCCACUCUAUUUUAUAUAGAAUUUUUUUUGAUGAAAUACAAAUUAAACAACAGGAGGGCGAAGUAAAACUUUUUGAACCGCAAGGUGGCAAGGUGAAAAUGAGUUAAAUCACACGGUAGCAAUUUGAAGUUUGCCCUUAUAUCAAAACACCAAUUCGCAUUUGCAUAGCUGUGGUUGCUCGGACUUAACAUAUCUUUUACAUCUUUUCUUUCUUGCAGCAGCAAGAACAUUUUCAGGCUCUUGAAAGUUUAGUCAUCGGAGAAUGUGAGAAGCUCGAAUAUUUUCCAACAGAUUUUUUUGGGAAAUUCAAUGCCAUAAUAUCCCUGUGCAUAGGAGAUUGCCCGAAGUUGACAAAACGUGGGAUCUCGGACAUCCAAGUGCCCUCUGUACUCGGUGUUCUCAGUAUUGGGUCAUGUGGCGAGCUUGAGGCGCCACUGCUGUGGUCAGCGAAUUUAACCUCUCUUACUCGGUUGGAAUUAGUCGAUUGUGCAAGGAUAGUAUCCCUUCCCCCAGCACAAGUGUGUGCACAAUGGACGAUGCUUUACCUCUUAUCCAUACACAACUGCAAAGAACUGUCAUCAUUUGGUGGGAUACAAGCUCUCGUAUCCCUCCGUUCUUUAGCAAUUAGCGGGUGCGACAAGCUAAUUGAAGUUGCCCUGCUGCAGCAACCUCCGUUCCCAAACGAUCUCGGCCAAAAAAAGAAUGCAGUGGACUGCCUUUUGAAGCUUGAUUAUCUAUCAAUUGACCACCACGCUCUCCUGCUCUUGGAGCCAUUGAGAAGUCUCUCCUCCAUCAGCAAUUUGACUAUCUCUGAUGCUUCGCGACUCACCUCCUUACCUGAGGGAUGGCUACAAAAUCACACCACCCUCAAAGAGUUACACAUAUGGAAUGCACGCUCCCUUCUGUCCCUACCCCUCAGCAUGAAAAAACUGUGCUCCCUCGACGUUUUGGUUGUGGAAGAUGCUAAUCUCAUCCAGUCACUUCCAGAUCUGCCUACUUCACUGUAUUCUCUAAAGAUCACCGGGUGUCACCCCGUGUUGAAGGAGCAAUGCCAAGAGAAUAUAGGCCCCGAUUGGCCCAAGAUUGCCCACAUCCCUGAUGUGAGGAUUGAAUAGCAUUUGCGGAGGUGAUGAUGAUGCAUAUAUAUUGCAUGCUUACUUUACCACCCUUCAUCACCCAUGCUACUCUCUGCAAUUAAUGCAAUUCAUUUCGGUGUUCUUCGGUCGUAACAAGUUUUAUCUCAUUUGUUACAGGACUACUACUUGGCCUUUCUGGACAAUGCAGGAGCAGCCAGGUUCGUUUUUAAUAAUUAGCAUGCAUCCUAAAUAGAAUUUUUUUUUAUAUUUUGUACCCUUAAUUAUUUUAAUACGAUUUGGAUACAUAAUAAGGGAACAUAUAUAGCGCUAAUUGCCCCUCAUAAUUAAUUAAUACAUGGUGCUCGGUGGUCGGAUUGGUCGACUUGUAAGAUAAACGGUGUAAUGAAUACAGUCGUAUGGCAAUUGCAUGCUUUGUAAAGUAAAUAGGACUAGUUCUCCGGUGAUGAGUUACAACUUAAGAGACGACGCGCGACAAAAGCGUUCGAGUAAUUGUAUAAGACUCCUAUGUAUAUAUUUCUCUCAAUUCUUUCAGGAAUAUAACAAGAUUCUAUUUUGGCAGUGCAGGAACAUAUACAGUAUUUAGGCUUAGGACUCCCUGUGCCUUAAUCUUACUGCAUGCAUUGCAUUUUUUUUUCUUUUUUUCUAUUGCCAAAUUAAUGUAAAAUCUUUAUGGAUGAAAUUAUCCUAAAAAUAAUUAAUUUACUGUUUGAUUCCUGCACAAGUAGCAAAUCUCAUAGCCUGGUGAUCGAGCUUGUUUGGUUUUGUCUACUAUCUGAUGAUCAAAGUUGUUGAGCCUAGUUUAAACAUUGGUUUAGAAUGUGUUUCAAACCUUUUUUUUUCUUUUUUCUUUCAGCAGCAUAAUUAGUACCCUGAUUAAUUAAGUUUGUGAGCUUAAUUUCAGUGGUAUAAAUUAUAUUCAAAUUUUGUUAAAGUUUAUAUGUUUUUUUAAUGCAGGUUGUAUCAAUUUGGGAGUAAAUUUAGUAGAUGCUCUGUCAAUAAGGCUCGGCUGACUCGUUGUAAAAGGAAUAUGAGAGCAAAACUGCAACAGCACACAUGAACUUGCAACCACAUCCUGCAGUUUCAUAUAUACUUUUACUAUCUUUGCACUUUCUAAACAAACUUAAGAUUUAUUAAAGACUGAAGUGUUACUUCUAAUAUUCUAUGUUUGGUUGUGUAAGAACGAAUUAAAGACUCCAUCGAUUUCUAUUUUCUAUUUUCUAUUUUCUUUAUAUUCUAGGUGGUGUAUGAAUUAAAAAGACUCCUCUUAUUAUCGUCUAUCGAUUUCGUCCUUGUUACGAAGGAUGGUUAAAGUUUUACUGCUUAAUUUGUGUACAUAUUCUCUCCUAUUUUUCUUGUUGCAGGAUUGGAAUAAGACUACUACAUGUACAUAGCAGCCUAUAUAUAUAAUGUGAUUGGUGUCUUUAGUGUAGCUUAAUUUUACUGGUUAUUCUGUUUUACUGCUUAAUUAAUCUUCCCUAGGAGACCAAUUAACUAGCAAGAUAAAGAAUAUUUUCAGGUUAGGUUGUGGGACUAAUCUGAUUUCUUAGUAGAGAAGUAUAAUUAAUUACAUUACUAAUGGCAAGAUAGCAGGACAUCACUUUAUUUGCUGCUUAAAGUGAUUGAUUGCAUUUGCUUAAUUUAAGGAAAAUAACGAGCUUCGGAUCAGAAUUUUGACGCUGCGGGAUCAUUUUCGGCAGUUGUCGUUCAUGUUCAUGUUCAGUUCAGUCUUCAAUCUGUAUAAGUUUGGGCUUGAUUCUGAUUUUCCGAGCUUCAGAUCAGAAUUUUGAUGAUGUGGGACCAUUUCAGCAGUUGUUGUGAUCAUAUUCAGUUCAAUUUUCAAUCUGUAUAAAUUUAGUUUGAUUCUAAUUUUUCCCUUCUUUUUUUUUUUUUUUUUUUUUUUUUUGGUUUACACCAUCUUAACUUCAUUUUUUUUUUUGGGAGUUAUUUUAGCUUGUUGAAGUGAAAAUUUUGUUUAGUUUAAUGGCUCUAUUAGCUGUAGGUUGAUUCAGUUUUAUUUGCUAUAAUAAGAUGAUUAAAACCAUUCAGUGCUAAUUUUUUUUUGUUAUAAUUUAAUAUUUCAAUAAAAUUAUUUUUGGUAGUUUUAUGUGUAACCAAAUCACCGCGCAUUUUCUGCUACGGGAAACAAUUGCCUGUACCCAGUGUACACAUGCACUCUAUGCACCGCACCUAUGUGUUGUGUGAUACUACAUUUGAAACAUUAUGAAUUUUGAAAAGGAUAAACUUUAAAUUGCCUAACUUAUUUUUAUUUUUCCAUCCAAUGGUUCAAAAAGUUACACUUAACUAUUCUACGGUUUAGCGCAUUUUUCAUUUUGUCGUCCUAUAAUUUUUUUUACUUUGCCACGUCAUUGGACAUAAAAUUUUGGGCUAAUUGCAUACAACUCCCUGUAAACAUAUUGAAUAACAGAUGUAUUCCUAUAAAGUUUAACUUUUUUAUUUUCAUUCCUGUAAAAAAGUCCAACCGUUUUUAAAUAUAUCCCCACUGUUAGGAUCCGUUAAAAAAAAAUAUAGUUAACCAUGAGUAAAAUAUUUAACCAUGAUUAGUGGAUGAGUUAAAUUGAUAUUUUUACUUUUCUUAUAUUAUUGGAUAAAAUAUUUUUUGGGAGGGCAUUUCUGUAUAAUGAAUUUUUGGAGGGAUAUAUUCGUAAGGGUAAAAAUAUUAUUUUUCUUAUUUUCUGUUAAAAUAAAUAAAAAAUACUCUAACGGUAACAAACUACAGGGGCAAAUAUGAAUAUUACUGGACUUUUGCCGAGCUAAAAAUAAAAAGUUAAACUUUGUAGUAAUAUAUUUGCUAUUCAAUAUAGGAGAAAAGAGUGCAAUUUUUUGAACGACAAGGUGGCAAAGUAAAAAUAUAUUGUGUUACAGGGAAUUAAUUAUAAGGAACCAAUGUCAAAUUUUUUUUUUUUUUUUUUAAUUUCUAUACAUAGACCAUGUAAAUACAAAAGGUGGAGCCAAUAAUUAAUUCCCUUAUGCAAUUAUUUCCACGUAGUUUUUUUAUGAGUAACUUUUAAAAUCCGAGCCCAAUUCAACUAAUGUGAUCUAGAACAGUAAAGGGACUAAUAUAAAAAAAUGGGAUAACUUCAGAAACCACCCUGUGGUUUCGCACUUGCUCACUUUAGUACCAUAUGGUUUAAGGUGAAUCAAUUUGCCUCCCUAUGGUUUCGUUUUUUUUCUUUUUAUUAUCAAUUUUAUUAUUUUUUUUCUUAAAUCAGUUACAAAGUUAAAAUUAAAGUGUAUUAAAGUAAAUAUUCAAUAAAUCUAUAUGAGUAUCUGAAGUUUUUUGUAUAUAAUUUAACAAAAUAUUAAGAAAAAAGCCGCCGAAAAGAUAAAAACAAAACCACAGGAGGGCAAAUUGAUACACUUUAAACCACGAGAUACUAAAGUGAGAAAGUGCGAAACCACAGGGGGUUUUUUGAAGUUUUUCCUAAAAAAAAACAAGAUUUGGGGAAAAACUUAUUACACUAACAUCAAGUAAAAUAAAAAAAAAUCAAUAAUUGUCUAUAAUGCGGCCGUAAAGCACUAGUUAAAUUUUAGAGUAAUACAGAAUAUUUUUCUAUAAAUGUUCGUCUUUUCACCUUCUUCUACUAAUUUGCAAAAAUUUUCAUUUUUGGUUCUCAAAAUUUCAAGUUUAUACACUUGGUUCCAACCGUCAGCGUUCCGUCACUUUUCCAUCUAUUCUUAUAAUUCAUAACUAGAUAUACAGAAUACGUGAUUAAAAAUACUGAAAAUAUAUUAAAAAUUAUUUUUUCUCUCCAGAAUGAGUAACGGUAGUUUUGUCAUUUCACCUAGUUCGUUAACGCCGGAACUGUCUUAAAAAAAAUCUGAAAUUUUAAGCAGACAAAAUAUAAAUCUUUUAAAAUCAAAAAAAUAAAAAAUAAUUAUUUACAGAAUUUUUUUUUUGUAUUUUAAUAUAAAUUUUAAUAUUAAAAUCUCUACCAAGGACUUUUAGAAAUGCCGUGUAUAUGAUGUAGUUAUAUGCAAUAAUUGAGUUUGGUUGGUAGUUACGGAAGGGGGACAAAUUUCUUGCACUUUGACUUGUAUAAGUCUUCUCUAUGAAACUUCAAUUUCAUUUCCUCUCUUUUUCUCAUAAACAUUCGAGAAACUACUGCCCCCAUUUUAUAUAUCUUUGCUAUGUAUUAUAUACCUUGUUAAAAAUUGCGAAACAACCAGCUAUCUCUAUUAAAAGCUUAAAUUGUUACAUAAUGAUAUUUUUUUUAAUAAUUAUGUUCAGCAUUCCUCCGUAUAGUUGGGCUUGAAUCUUUUUUUAUAUGCUCUAAUGCUCCCGCCUUGAAGUACGUACGUUGAGUUAAAUAAGUGGAAAUUACGAGGCAAGGGUCCGGUGGGAUUCAAAUUUGGAAUCUCUCAUUCUGAUAUUAUGUUAAAUAAUAUGAAGCAAUCAUUAUUCUUCGAAAGCUUAAGUCAUUGGAAAAUGUUGUUAUAUUUGGGCUUAAAGCUUUUUAAGGAGUUCUAGGUGUGGAUUUGAUUUAAAUAGAAAAAGAUUAAGGGCUUGUUUGGAAGCCGAAAUAAAAUAUUUAAGAAUAAUUUAUUCGGCAUGAAAAUUUUUAGUGUCAUUAUAAAAAAAAAGGUAAUAGCAUAACAUAUUUCAAAUACGAAAUGAUUUAUUUAUCCUAAAAAAUAACUCGAAGGCUAAAUGUAUGUAGUACCCGAUUUUAAACAUUUAAUCACAUUCUCCAUCCACCAGAUGUAUAAACUUAUUAAGUAUAUCACGAAGAUAUACUAAAUAACAAAUUUAUGUAUCCGGAUAGGGUCUAAACAAAUAAUGGAAAAAAAAAAAAAGGAGUUAGAAGAAAAGUGUGCGGAGAAAUGGUUCUAUAUUUUUCGCUGCAAAAAUUAUAUAUGAUAAUUUCUUUUUUACAGAUAUAAAUCAAAUGUUUUUUUCAUCAUAUUUUCUCAAGGUACAUAUCACUCAAUCCCGACAAAGUCUAAAAUAUCUAGAGAUGUGGUGUUUUUUCCAAAACGUGCCACUUUUUUCUACAGCUUGCAUUAAUUAUAUCUCCUCCUAAAUUAAUCCUUCUUCUUUGCACGCUCAACUUCCUGAUUCUCAUUUGCCUGAGUAGUGGUGAAGUAGUAGGAGUUAGAGCUAUUCGGAGGAUUAUGGCUUUACCUUUCAUAGCCGAAUCGGCGGCGUCGGCAAUCAUUGAGAAUCUCGUUAGCACUUGCUCAUCCUACCUCGAGGCAUGCCCGGCAACCUGCGGCAUGCAAGACGAGCUCGAACGGCUGCAGCACGCCCUUCCGCAGGUCCAGGCAGUCUUGACUGCGGUCGUGGGGGGUGCACCGGUCAUGGUGCAGAACAAGGCGCUGGAAACGUGGCUGUGGCAGCUCAGAGACGCCGUGGAGAAUGCGGAGGACGUGCUCGACGAGCUGGAGUACUACGAGUUACAAAAGACUAUACAAGAUCGAGAUGACAAGGUGCGUGGUAUUCUAUCUAACUGCAAGAGAAAGUUUGAUAGUUUCGUUAAUCGUAUAUUUAGCGAUGACACACUGAAGCGGUUGAGGGAGGCCGUCAAGGGGUUGGAUCGGGUCAUUGCUGGUAUGGGGCCACUCCUUCAUCUUGUUACUGGGUUAUAUGGCCCUCGCGUUAAGUGUCAGAAACUCGAGGAAAUUAAGAAUGCUCGCGAGACUAGCUCCUUGCUAACCGAAAGUGAGGUGCUCGGACGAGACGAGGAGAGGGACCUGAUAGUUGAAUGGCUGAUCGAACCGGGAGAUGCCGAUGUCAAUGUCUCCACUUUUACAAUUGUUGGUAUGGGCGGGAUCGGGAAGACCACUCUUGCUCAAUUGGUCUAUCGCAACGAAAGAGUGCAAGAGUACUUCGACCCGAUUGUGUGGGUUUGCAUUUCUCAGGAGUUCAAUGUAACUGUGAUAACAAAAAAGAUUUUAGAAUGUGUAAGUAGGGAGCAUUUUGGCGACAACAGUCUACAUGCACUCCAUGAGAAUCUUAAACAAAAACUAACGUCGAAGAGGUUUUUGCUCAUACUGGAUGAUGUUUGGAACGAUGAUAAAAUGAUGGCGUGGGAGAAAUUGGUUGCUCCUUUGAAAUUCGGACAGAGAGGAAGCAAGAUUCUGUUGACAACUCGGAUGCGUUCGGUUGCAGAUAUGGCGGCAAAAGUGAUGAAAUGCAAACAGGAAUCAUUAAAUCUAAAUAAGUUGGAGGAGAGCGACUAUAUGUUGCUUUUCAAUAAGCAUGCAUUCCUCGGUGUGAAUCCUGAUGAUUAUAAAAACUUGCAACUGAUUGGCGAACAGAUAGCGAAGAAACUUGGAGGAUGCCCAGUGGCCAUAAAGGUCAUGGGAGGAAUGCUGAACUCCUGCAUGGACUAUGAAUAUUGGAAGAAAAUCCUGGAAAAAGACAAUGUGAAAUUACAACAAGGAAACGACGACAUCAUGAAAGUUUUAAGAUUAAGCUACGAUCACUUAUCCACAAACUUACAACUCUGCUUUAGAUAUUGUAGUUUAUUUCCGCAGGAUCAUAUGUUUAAGAGAAAAAAGUUGGUCAAUAUGUGGAUUGGUUCGGGUCUGAUUCCACAAUCUAUUUGUGGCAGGGAAAGGCCAGAGGAUAUCGGAAAGGAGUAUUUAAAUCUUUUGACAAGAAAAUCAUUCUUUACCUGUAAAACCCAUGAUAAUAGGGUGGAAAUUACUAAAAAGUAUUUUAUGCACGAUCUGCUGCAUGACCUAGCACGAUCUGUUUCUCUAGGAGAAUGCAUCAAAAUAGGAGGUGAUGUUGCAGAAAAUAUUAUUCCAAAAACAGUUCGACACUUAUCUGUCGAAAUGCUUAAUCUUCUUUCUAUUAGAGAGAUCUCCAAUCUUAAGAAUGUGCACACUCUAGUCAUUUCUGUUAAAGAGGACAAUAGGCAUAAUGCAGAUCAUGCACUUGAAUUUAUCGAGGUUAUAAAAGGGUUUAGAAAGUUACGCUUAUUGAUCUUAGAUGUGAAUUUUCACUCUUAUAAACUGCCCAAUGCACUUAGUAGCUUGAUACACCUCCGCUACCUAUCUCUUUCACUACAGAAAGUUGUGAAUGAAAGCAUUGAAUAUGAUGCCUUGACCAACUUGGUCAAUUUGCGUUCAUUAGAUGUUUCCGAUGAUGUGAUAGAAAAUAUUCCUUAUAUUAGCAAAUUACCCUUCAUCCACAUAUUAAAAAAUUUUAUCGUUCAAGAGAAGAGUGGUUACAAAAUUGGUGAACUAAAGAACCUCAGGGACCUUCGUCACCUGUGUAUUAGGAAACUUGAAAAUGUGAAGAGUUCUGAAGAAGCCAUCGAGGCCAAUUUAAACGAGAAAAAAUAUCUCAAAUCAUUGGGAUUGCGAUGGUCUGAAGGCCACUCCAAUAGUGCAGAAGCGGAUGAGCAGCUCCUCGAUAACCUCUGUCCACAUAUCAAUCUCAAGAAGAUGCGCAUUCAACAAUACCAAGGUGCUAAAUCUCCAUGUUGGAUGACAAAUCUGUCUCUUGUCAAUUUGACAACCAUCGAGCUAAUUGAUUGUAAAAGAUGGGAGCACCUCCCGCCUCUUUGGCAGUUUUCUUCGCUCCAGCAUCUUUUCUUGCAGGGACUGCAUGCAAUAAAGCAAAUAGAUUGGUCAUUCUUUGGAAGCAACAAUGGAUGUGCCUUUCCAUCGUUGAAGAAGUUACUUUUAUGGGAUAUGCCUAACUUGGAGGAGUGGAUUGGAAUUGAUGACAGGUGCAUGUUUCCUCAACUUCAGUCUAUGUCUAUUUCUGAUUGCCCUAAUUUGAGAGGAAUUCCUACUCUGCAUUAUGGUCUAAGAGAUUUGCAUAUUUAUAAUGUCGGAUUGACCGCUUUACCAACAAUAAAUCAAGAUUACGCAAACAACAAUGUAAGUGCUUUAUUUUGUAAAGUUUAAAUUUCUACCCUGAGGUUUAGCUCAUUUUCACUUGCCCCUCCUGUAGUUCAAAAAAGUAUCGUUUUGCACCCCCCUCCCUGUAGUUCAAAAAGCAUUUUUUAAAUAUUUUUAAUUGGCCACACUAUUUCAUAUAGAACUUUUUUGAUGAAAUAAAACUUAAACUACAGGAGGGCAAAGUAAAACUUUUUGAACUGCAAGGUGGCAAGUUUAAAAUGAGUUAAAUCACACGGGGGCAAUUUAAACUUUACCCUUGUAUCCAAACACCAAUUCGUAUUUGCAUGGCUGUGAUUGCCCGGACUUAAAUAUCUUUUACAUCUUUUCUUUCUUGCGGUAGCAAGAACAUUUUCAGGCUCUUGAAAACUUAAUCAUCAGACACUGUAAGAAGAUCGAAUAUGUUCCAUCGGAGCUUUUUGGAAAAUUCAAAGCCAUAAAAACCUUGCACAUAGAAAAUUGCCCGAAGUUGACAAAACGUAGGAUCUCAGACAUCGAACUGCCCUCUGUACUCGGUCAUCUCACUACUUGGUCAUUUGGCGACCUCGAGGUGCCACUGCUGUGGUCAGCGGAUUUAACCUCUCUUAUAUGGUUGGAAUUACUCGAUUGUGCAAGGAUAGCAUCCCUUCCCCCGGCACAAGUGUGUGCACGGUGGACGAUGCUUUCCCGCUUAGACAUAAAGAACUGCAAAGAACUGUCAUCAUUUGGUGGAAUACAAGCUCUCGUAUCCCUCCGUUCUUUAGAUAUUGAAGGGUGUGACAAGCUAAUUGAAGUUGCCCUUCUGCUGCAGCCUCCGUUCCCAAAUGAUGUCGGCCAAAAAAAGAAUACAGUACUGGACUGCUUUUUGAAGAAUGGUAGACUAUCAAUUGACCACCACGCGCUUCUGCUCAUGGAGCCAUUGAGAAGUCUCUCCUCCGUCUGCUCGUUGACUCUCUCUGAUGCUUCACGACUCGCCUCCUUACCUGAGGAAUGGCUACUACAAAAUCACGCUGCCCUCGAACGAUUUUGCAUAUGGAAUGCACGCUCCCUUCAGUCCCUACCCCGCAGCAUGACAAAACUGUGCUCCCUCGUCAUUUUGGGUGUGGAAGAUGCUAAUCUCAUCCAGUCACUUCCAGAUCUACCUACUUCACUGCGUUGUCUAGUCAUCAACAGCUGUCACCCUGUGUUGAAGGAGCGAUGCCAAGAGAAUAUAGGCCUUGAUUGGCCCAAGAUUGCCAACAUCCGUUUUGUGAGGAUUACAUAGCAUUAUUUGCAGAUCGUGAUGAUGAUGCAUAUUAAUUGUAAGUACACUCUACCCCCCUUCAUCUCGUAACCCUUUGUUGUAAAUAAUGCAAUUCAUUUUGGUCUUAAUUAAUGAACUACAUACAUCUCAUUCAGUCUUAACAAAGUUAUCUCAUUUCUUACGGGAUUAAUUGCUUACCUUUUUUCAGAUAAUGCAAGAGUAGCCAGGUUCCUUUUUAAUUAGCAUCCUCAAUGGAAUUUUUACAUUUUGUACUCUCAUUUUAUGAUUUGGAUACAUAAAAAGGGAAUAAAGCACUAAUUGCCUCCUAUAAUACAUUGUGCUAGUCUUUUUUUUUUUUGAUUAAACAGGGGUAUACCCUAUUUUAACAAAGUCAGAACAGAGAGUAUAGGAGCAGUCUAGUAAGGCGAAAAAACAGAACGGCAAGAACAGCAUGGGUUGAUCGCAAUCAAGAUCUAGGAGCAGGAACCCAGAAACCAAAAAAAACCAAAAACAAAAAUCAAAGCCCCAAAAAACCCCAAAAAGCGCAAUGUCAUGAAUAUAUUGUGCUAGUCAUGAAUAUAAUACAUUGUGCUAGUCUUAACAAACAAUGUCAUGAAUAUAACAUAUGUUAAUUGCGCUAGCAUGUCAAUUGCUUUCUAAAGUUAAAUAUGACUAAUUGUGCAGUAAUUUCUCUCUCUAGGAGUACAAACAAGAUGCGAAGUCUCGCUGAUGAGUUAGAACAUAAGAGAAGCAUGACAAAAGCUUUUUAAGUUUGUUAAAUUUCUUGGUUCAGGGCAGUAGUAAUGGUAUAGCACUCCUAUAUAUAUAUAUUUCUCCCAAAUUUUUCAAGAAUAUAAAGCAAGAGUAGCUGCUUAUGUUCUAUUUUGGUGGUGCAGGAACAUGUAAGGAUUAGGACCCCCUAUUGGUGCUCGAAUCUAUUUUUCUUAUCUGGCAUAAAACAAGAUUAAAAUCAUACUACUUAUUUUCUCUUCUCUUUCUUUUUUGGCGCAAUAGUGAAAAAGGCUCUUAUUGUCAUAUAUGACUCCCAUACAUGGUCAUGGUCCAUCAAUUUAUUCAUAAGAAUAUGGAAAAAAAAGACUAAUGUCUUACUGCAUGCUUGUGUUCUUCAGUUUUGUUGGUGCAGGAUCAGAGUAACAUAUAUUCCAUGCGUUUUUGUUUGUGUGUGUGUGUGUAUAGCAGCCGAACUAAUGUAAAAUCUUUAAGAAAGAAAUUGCCCUCUUUUGCGGCAAGGAGAUUAAAUGCUUCAAUUUUGUUUCCCCUCAAUUUAUAUGCGUAUAUAUUAAAGAUAAUUUUGUGUUUGAUUCCUGCACAAAUAGCAAAUCGCAUAGCCCAGUCAUAAGCUUGUUCUGUUUUUGUCUGUUAUAUGAUGAAGUUGUUGAGCUUCUCUGAGGUAGCUAAAACAUCAAUCAAUUUUUAUGUUUCUCUAGCAGUAUAACAACUCCAAGUUUUUAAUGCAGGUUGUAUCCACUUUCCGGGGCAAAUUUGACAGACACUCCGUCGAUAACACUUAUACCGACAUUUCACCGUAAAAUGAAAAUGAGGCCUACACUGCAGCAGGCAUCAACUUGCAACCACGUCUUUCAGCUGCUUGCUUUUUCUUUCUUUACGAUUUGCCAAAACAGAAAAAAAAUUAAUUUCCUAAUGCAUUGACGACAGAAAAGCACACUCAAAACUCAAACAGACCGACGACUGUUGCUGAUGUUCAGUUCAGUCUUCAAUCUCUGUAAGGUUGGUUUUGAUUCAAAUUUUCUGUCUACGCUCCUUUGUGCAGUUCCUUAUUUUUCGAACUGUUGUUUUCAGAGACAUAAUUUUUUUUUUUUUUUUGAGGUAAAAUUCUAAUGAGACCACUGCAACUAUACGCCAUUGCGAAAUAGGCCCCUCAACUUGGCAAUUAUUUUUGUUUUUUAUUGACACUGUUCUUAGAUUCUAAUAUGGUUUUUUUUUAUUUCAGUUAUUUGAGUUAGUUAAAGCGAAAAUUUUGUGAAGUUUAAUACCUCUAUUAGCUAUUGGUUGUUUCAGUUUUGUUUGCAAAAAGAUAAUUAAAACCAUUAAAUUGAUGAAAAUUCUAAUCUACCAAAUACUAUACAGUUCUUGAAUAAAUAGAACAGAGAGACCGAAUAAGAUAUUCAUGCAUUCAAAUAAAUAGCUCAGGUCGAAAAUAGUUUUUCGGUCGAAUAUUAAUAUUAGAUUUUAGGAGAUUUGGUUUGCGUAUUUUACACUUUUCAGUGACAAAUAAUUAUAUACUUUAAGAGACGCACCGUAUACGAUUUUGCAAAUUAUUUUUGGAUGAAAAAAUAAAAACUAAAAAGUCAAUAUCUGUCCUCCAUCACACAUCUACUUUUCUACAUAUUUUAUUUUCUUUUCUUUCAAACAGAACACUUGUGCUUCAAUCUUAAUUUCGUUUUACGCCAAACCAAAUACUAACAAUUGGAUUAUUAUUUUUUCUAUAAUUUAAUAUCUCUUAAACUAUUUUUACUAAGUUUAUGUGUUACCAAACACCAGAUUAUGCAGAAAGAAACAAAUGCCUGUACCCAGUGUAUACAUACGCUAUAUGCACCACACGAUAUACAUUUGGUCUAAUAUAUUAAACCUAAAAUAUCUAAAAAGAGUAGAUUAAAAAACAUUAUGAGAUUUGUAAACGUAUGAGGCUUAGUUUGGUAUUGAGAUCUUUCUAACGCUAUUAGAUAAAAUGGAGUUGAGAAAAAACUAUAUAGGGAUAUGCUUCUGCGUUCUCCGGUGGGACUGCAGAAAAUAUAUCGUAACUAACUCAUCGCGAUAUGCGGAACGCAAUAUUACGUACGGAAACAAAUAGGUAUUUUUCCAACGUACUUUCUCACCGCAUGUAACGCAAUCUCCCCGCAAUCCCAAACGAAGUCUUAGAGUAGAGACGCAGAAAUCGUUCAAUUUUUUUUUUUUAUUUUAAAAAGGUAGUGGCCAUUUGACCUUUUUGCAUAAAAAAUCCACUUAUUUUAGACUUUUGCAAAACCGGGUCACCUUUUUCAUUUUUGCAGAUUCGGUCCGUUUUUUCAGCAAACUGACCAAAAUACCCUUAUUACUUUUUCUUUUUUCUCUUUCUCUCUCCUCUUCGUUCUCUCGUUCUUUUUUUUUUUCGCCGAAAAAAAAAAAACGAAGGCUAGGCGGGCGCGCCGCCGGAGCACCGCCAGGUGGGCUCUUCUUCUUCUUCUUCUUCCUGCAUGAGCAAUUUGUUUUUUCUCUUUUUCUUUUUCUUCUUCUUCUUCCUCCUGCUGGAGCACCUUUUUUUUUUUUUUUCCCUCUUCUUCUUCUUCUUCUAAUUUGAUUUCUCUGUAAGGAAGGAUAAUAUAUUAAAUUACAUAUUUUGAAGAUUGAGAUUUGGAGAUGUAUGUUUAAUUAGCGAAGCGCGCGAAGGUUAAAGAGUAAUAAUCUGUGUGUUCUAUAUAUGAUGGCUGUUAAAGAUAUACCUUCUUUUUUAUUGGUUUGGUUCAUACAUCGGGUUUAUGAAAAAAAAUAAAUAAAUAGGAUCUCAUAAGGAUUUAUUUUUGGUGGAUCCUACUUUAAAUUGGAAUCGUAGGUGGACUAGGAUUGGUUUCCAUAUAACACUCUAUAUUCAAUAAUCAUAUUGAAUUAGAGUAGGAUUGAGCCAAAUCCCUCUCUAUAUAUACAUGCAUAUGCAUGUACGGCUUGGUGAGGCGCGUGGAUAAAUUAAUUAGCAUUCAUGGUCCGGCUAAUUAAUACACGGUGUCUCCUGUGGCCAUACGGAAGAGGCUGAGGAAGAGGCUUAAUUAAUUAGCCAUAGUGGACCGUACGGCUUCGGGUGCAUAGAAGCAAAUUAAUUAGCAUAAGGUGUAUUGGCUAAUUAAUUAACAUAGCACCAUCCGUACGGCAUAAGAAGGCUGCACCUUUGCAUGCGACGUCGGAUCAGCAGGAGCAACGGUUCUCGACCAAUUACUUGAGCGGUUCGGAUUCUUCGAAACAACGGCAUAAAGGAAUUUGGUUAGAGUUUCUAUACUUCUCUCAUUUGGUCUUCUCGGUUUUACGAAAAACUUUUUCGGUAUUUUCUUGGAGUUUUCGUUGGAGAAGAAAGGUGGGAUUCACUAUAAGGUUCUUGAUUUUUUAGCCGGAGAAGACAUAAGGUGUAAGCUUGUACUUUUAUUUCUUCAUAUAGUGGAAUACAUCUCUCUCGCUCUCCCCGUGGACGUAGGCAAUUGCCGAACCACGUAAAUCUUGGUUUCUUCUUUCUGCAUUUAUUUCUUUUACCAUUCGGUCGAUUUUUUCUAUUUUUCGUGCAUCUUUGUUGGUAGCACAUGACGGACGAUCCAUCCGUGCUAUCAGAGCGUAAGGUUCGUGCUACAUCAGAUAUGUCGAAAGUCUCGUCUUCUAAGUUUGAGGUGGAGAAAUUUGACGGUAAAGGAAACUUCGGUCUGUGGCAGAAAAGAGUGAACGCCCUUCUGGUUCAACAGGGCCUUCAUAAGGCGUUGCUCGGAAAAUCGAAAAAGCCGACAUCGAUGAGCGACGAAGAUUGGGAGGAUAUUGAUCUGCGGGCGGUGAAUACAAUUAUAUUAUGUCUAGUAGAUGAGGUGAUGUAUAACGUAAUGGAUGAAGAAACUACAGUCGGCAUGUGGGACAAGCUAGAGAAGCUGUACAUGACCAAAAGCCUCUCGAACGUGCUGUACCUAAAGCAAAAAUUAUAUGGGCUACGCAUGAAGGAAGGUACGGCAAUAACGGAACACUUGAACACCUUUAAUAAAAUUAUUGCGGAUUUGCUCAGCAUUAAUGUCAAGGUUGACGAGGACAAUAAGGCGUUGAUUUUUCUUACAUCACUUCCGUCGUCCUACAAUCACUUAGUGACCACCAUACUGUACGGGAAGCAAACUCUAAAGAUGGAAGAUGUUACAUCGACACUUUUAUCUGAAGAGAUCAGGUUGCAGGCGAGUACCGAAGAUAGCAGUGUAGGUUUGGUCGUAAAUGAUACAAGUGGAGGAAGGGGACGAUCUAGCGAACGUGAUGUAGGUAAAGGAAGAUCCUGUUCCAAGUCAAAAUCGAAAAAGGUGAAGUGUUACUUCUGCAAGAAAGAGGGCCACGUGAAAAGAAACUGCGAGAAGAGGAAGGUUUGGCUGCGAAAACUAGAUUCCUCUGCAGAUACGGCGAGCGUAGCUAGCGACACUAGUCAGGAUGUUUUGACGGUUUCUACAGGUUCAGAAUCUCUCAAUGACUGGAUAUUGGAUUCGGGUUGUUCUUGUCACAUGACUCCGGACAAAUCUUUAUUUGAUACUUAUAAAUCUUGUGAAAGCGGUAGUGUUAUGAUGGGCAAUCGCACUAGCUGCAAGAUGGUCGGUAUCGGAACAGUAAAAAUAAAGAUGUUUGAUGGUGUGGUUAGAACGUUGACGAAUGUGAGACACAUUCCGGGUCUUAGAUUGAAUUUGAUAUCGCUUCGUACUCUUGACUCUAUUGGUUGUUCUAUUAGCAUUUCAGGUGGAGUCGUCAAGGUGAAAAAGAGUGCUAUGGUAGCCAUGAAGGGAGAGAAGGUGGGGAAUCUGUACAAGCUGAUCGGUAAGCCGGUAACAGCGGAGAAGUCUAGGCAUUCUCUAGACUUCGCUAACCUGCAUGACUGUUAGUGUCGAGAUGCCUCAGGGAGAGGGGGCGAUAAGAUGAGAGAGAGUAAUGAAGUAAAAAAGAAGUCAAGAUGGAGAAUGUUAAAGAUAUGCCUUCUUUUUUAUUGGUUUGAUUCAUACAUCGGGUUUAUGAAAAAAAAAUAAAUAAAUAGGAUCUCAUAAGGAUUUAUUUUUGGUAGAUCCUACUUUAAAUUGGAAUCGUAGGUGGACUAGGAUUGGUUUCCAUAUAACACUCUAUAUUCAAUAAUCAUAUUGAAUUAGAGUAGGAUUCAGCCAAAUCCCUCUCUAUAUAUACAUGCAUAUGCAUGUACGGCUUGGUGAGGCGUGUGGAUAAAUUAAUUAGCAUUCACGGUCCGGCUAAUUAAUACACGGUGUCUCCUGUGGCCAUACGGGCGGAAGAGGCUGAGGAAGAGGCUUAAUUAAUUAGCCAUAGUGGACCGUACGGUUUCGGGUGCAUAGAAGCAAAUUAAUUAGCAUAAGGUGUAUUGGCUAAUUAAUUAACAUAGCACCAUCCGUACGGCAUAAGAAGGCUGCACCUUUGCAUGCGACGUCGGAUCGGAGUCGGCAGCAGGAGCGACGAUUCUCAACGGCAUAAAGGAAUUUGGUUAGAGUUUCUAUACUUCUCUAAUUUGAUCUUUUCGAUUUUACGAAAAGCUUUUUCGGUAUUUUUUUGGAGUUUUCGUUGGAGAAGAAAGGUGGGAUUCACCAUAAGGUUAUUGAUUUUUUAUCCGGAGAAGACAUAAGGUGUAAGCUUGUACUUUUAUUUCUUCAUAUAGUGGAAUACAUUUCUCUCGCUCUCCCCGUGGACGUAGGCAAUUGCCGAACCACGUAAAUUUUGGUUUCUUCUUUCUGCAUUUAUUUUUUUUACCGUUCGAUCGAUUUUCUCUAUUUUUCGUGCAUUUUUGUUGGUAGCACAUGACGGACGAUACAUCCGGUUCCCAACAAUGGCAAGAUAGCAAUUUGUUUCUCUUCACUUUAUCGGCACAACUAGCAAAUCUCAUGAUCUGAUGAAGUUGAUGAGCUUCUUUGAAGUAGACAAAGUAUCCCAGCUCUAAAGUUGUUUAUACUUCAAAUUUUGUUAAACUUUUCUCAAGUUUUUAAUGCGGCCUCUAUCGAAUUUUGGAGUAAAUUUGGUUGGCGCGGCUGACUCAUUGUAAAUACAACCACAUCUUGCAGCUAUUUUACUUUUUUAAUUUCUUUACACUUUUCAAAAAAAAAUUAAAUUUCUUUAUGUGUUGAAGACAAAUUAAAAAACAAACUCAGUUUUCAGUCUGUGUAAGUUUGGUUUUUGAUUCAGAUUUUGCGAACAAAUUCAUGUCAGUCUUUCUUUUUGGUGUACACUCCUUUUUGUACAGUUCCUUAUCUUUCAUCAAUAAUUAUUAGAGAGGCUUAUCUUUUUUUUUUCCUUUUUUUUUGGGGGUGAGUUAUUCUAGUUGGUUGAAAUUUAAUUACCCAAUAGGUUUCUAGAUUCUUCUACCCAAGGAAGUUACAAAUUAAACACUUAAUUAUUCUCAACACAUGUCUUACACCUAAUUUUGUAAAGCUUUAGAACGAAAAGAAAAUUAUCUCUUCUAAUUUAGUGCGUGAGAAACACAAUAAAUUAAGCGCAUAGGCGGAUAUAAGAAGGUAAUAAAUCAUUCACUUGUCUUCUACUCAAAAGGCACCGAAUGAUUCGCCAUCUUCUUGUGGCAACCAACACAUCUUAAAUGCUGCCAACGGGCACCAGCGUUAUCCUCUUGCGUGGUAUGAGGGUUAGAUUCCAAAAUAACAUUUAUAUAGGGGUUAAUUCCCCAAUUGUUUUUGGUUUAAAUGCCGUGAAUUUUUCUUUUCUUUUUUAAUUUUUUAAUGUGCAAUGCUAGCCCUAUAACCUCCGCCAUCCAAUGUCCACCGUUUUCCAACUCGUCUUGUCCAAUUUUUUUUGUUUUUUUUAACUAAAAACUAAAAAUCGUGAAUUAAACGGUCAUGGAUUGAGAAUUGUAAAGAUUGUAGACUUAGCAUAUUUUUUUUAUUUGAUUUACAACCCUCAACUUACAAAUUCUUGGAUUUUGGUCCUUUCAUUAGCAAUUUUAAAAAUUUGUUAGAAUCAAAUGCCCACCAAAGAUGCACGCGUGAUAAAAAAUUGCUCUAGUUAAAAAAAAAUCAGGGGUCCUUUCAAAAAAAGAUUAAAGUUCAGGAGAUGUUUAUAUAUUUUAAACUUUUAUUAAUCAAGGUUAUUUAAAAGUUAAAAAACAAAGCCCUAAUAAAUAAACAAUCGCACAAGUAAAAGGGUAUAGUUGUUGAUUUAUAUUUUUUCGAGGCCAUUGACUCGAUCGGAUGAGUUGGGAACGUGGUGCUGUCUCUGAAUGCAAUCAAGCAAGGGGAAAAAAAAAAUCAAUUUUAUUUGAUUUUUUUUCUUAAAGAAAAAUAUAGCAUGUUGUCUGCUUCAUUCAUUCGAAAUAUAACUAGACUACAUGAGCGAGGUACUAGACGUCAGUCGAGAUGAAGAAAGAAGAAAAAAAAAAGAAAUGGUUAACUGAAUACGAAAUAGCUACUUUGCUGAGAUAAAUUCCCCACAAGUUUUUGAAGUACCUGAUUUUAUUGACUGCUACAAAUGGGUCCGCACUAACUUUUCUAAAAAUCACAUCAUUUUUAACAUUCCAAAUAACUCAUCACCAGGCUAUCAGUUCGAUCAGCCUAGAACGAAUAGACUGAGUUCUAUAUCUUGACGUCUAAUUAUUCCAAAUGACAGUCACAUCAUCACCCAAAUUUAUAAACUGGAUCCUCUGUAAGGCUGUCACCACUAGAAAUUUACUAAAUAUGCAUUGCUCCCUACUGGUUUAGUCCAAUUUCAGUUUACUACCCCCUGUGGUUCAAAAAAUAUCACUCCGCCCCUCUAUGAUAUAGUUCAUUUUUAUUGCGCUACCCUGUAGUUUAAAAAAUUACACUUUGCUUUUAUGUGGCUUAGCUCGUUUUCUACUUUACCAUUUUGUGGCUUUUUAAAAGUUUUUUACUUUGCUAUCUUACUUCAUAUAGAAUUUUUGGGUACAGUAGAAAUUAAACCACAAGGGGUUAAAGAGAAAGUUUUUGUUACGACAAACGCACAAACGGAAACGAAAUGACGAACACAAAAACAAUCAAACCACAAGCAGAAAAAUAAAGAGACACAGAUUUACGUGGAAAACCCUUUUGCAGAGAAAAACCACGGGCGAGGGAGGAGAGAACUUCACUAUGGAAUGAAAAGAGAAUACAAUGUUCUUCAGGUUACAACCAACCACGAUCACACGCCUCUAGGGCAUAAACGAUAAACGAAAAAGAAAAACUCAUAACAGGUUUCGGAUCCGAUCCGUACCGCGGGGGGCUCCGCUACCCACCAUAGACAUUCAUUUUUCCUCCAUAAUUUUCUUUUCCAAAUUGGUCGCACCGCGAAGCUGUCGGCGAGUCGUAAACCCGAACCUGAAUCGAUAGUAGAUUUCGAGUCGCAUCUAACAGUUUUCAAACCAUAGGAUGAUAGAGAAAAAAUAAGGUACAUCGUAUAGAAAAAACUUUGGAGUUUACCCUAUUUUUAAUGCAUGCAUCACUAUUCUGGCUUAAUUUAUUUUCGGGUCUAAAAUAAACUAACUAAAUACCUUUAGCUAGUAUAUUAUAUGUAUGUAUCUUUGCUUUUCGAGGGCUAGCUAAAGGUCAGAGAAUUGAAUCCCUGCUUAUGUAUUUUUAUAAAAUGGAUUUCGAACCAGCGGCUUUUUGCGUAAAAAAUUCUUGUGACAUAUAGGUAGGGACAACUUUUUAAAUUAAAUCACAAAAACUGUUAAUGUUUUUAUUAGUCUAUGUUUGUGAUUGGAAAUGGUGGUUAAUAAAAUUUAUCCAGAAAUAAAGUUGGUGACCUACCUACUCUUAAAAUUUAGGGAUAAUAUUUUAUAUACAUUUCAAAAUUUAAAAAAAUUUUAAUAUAGUUUUGAUUGACCAAAAUAUUGUUAUUGAUUUCAAAAAUUCCUUCAAAAAAUCCCUAACCACAGGGUUUACUAAUGAGGUUUGGACUGCAUAAGGGUAUUUGAAGAAUAAAUUGAUCAUAAAUUUAAAAAUUUUGAAUAACAGUGAGGGUUAUAAAAGCAAAAAAGUCCCUAAAAUUUAUAUAGCAAAUAAAUCCAUCAUCAUACCGAAGCAGGACGAACGAAAAAAAAAAAUAGUGAAUAAUUUGUUACCUUCAAACGAAAGUAAAUAAUUUAUUAUCUCUUUAAAAAUAAAAAUUUUAUGUCUAAAACAUUGAGCAACAUUACUUUAGUAGUGUAUACUAUUUAAGAUAACAUAUAGAUUUAUGGUUUAGAGUCUAAGGUGGAGACCGUGAACGAAUUAUCAUCAUCUAGAACUUGAGUAUGAAAAUUUUGAAUUAGCUUGUUUUCAAUGAGAUCAAAUUAUAAUAAUUAUAAAAGAAAAAUAAAAGGAGAUGACUUUCUAAGAUACCCAUAAAAUCGAAUAAUUUGUUAAGGAAUAUUAGUUGAAAAAAUAGAGAAAAAAAAAUGCUAAAAUGAAUCUUCCAGAUAGACUUAUUGCAAGCUUUAAUCAAGUUAUUUUUAAUCUUUUUAUUAUCUUCAUUUAUUUUGUUAUUUUUUUUAUGUCAGCAUGAGUUGAAUAUAUAUGCUCUAUCACUUUUAACGAGUAUCUUAUAGCAGCUUGUGUGCAAAAUUAUAAGUUUAUUACUAAGGGCCCGUUUGGUUCAAGUUAUCCCGGCAAGAUUACAGGCAAUCCUGCCAGGAUAACUGUGUUUGGUUAAUCCGCUAUGUAAUGUAGUCGUUAAUGUAACAUUACAAAUCGAACAGAAUUACAUCGAAAAUAUUAAUGGGAGGGGGGUCGUAUAUCUUGCAUUAUUGAAACCCGUUAAUACUACAUAUUAUGUAAAAUGACAAUUUUACCCUCCAACAACCCCAAAUCUAAUUAACUGUAUUAUUUUCAUCUCUCUCGCCUUCCCCCUCUCUCUCGCAUGCCCUUUUCUCUCGCUCUCUCUCUCGCCUUCUUCCCUCUCUCUCGCACGCCCCUUUCUCUCGCUCUCUCUCUCUCACGUCUCUCUAUCUAUAUCUCUUUCUCUCUCGUGCACGAACACUUAUAAUUUUCUAUUGCAUCGUUGGUUUAGACUUUUUUAGUUUUUUUUUAUUAGUGCAAGAACUUUUAAAUUUUUAUAAUGUAAGUGUUUAAGCUUUCACUUUUGGAUGCUAUUAUAAUGUGUGUGGAAGUUUCGACUUUAUAAAAUAUUUAUUCUAUAUGGUGCUUUAUUAAUUUCUUAACUUGGUAAUAGUACUGUUUGAUAUUAAACAUGAAAAAUAUAUAUUCUAUAUGUUUGGUUAAUGAUUUUGUUUAUAGAUGAGUUUUAAAAUUGAAAUUUAUUUGUUAUUGUAUGAUUUUUCAUUAUGUAUAAUGAUCUUUUUUCUAUUUAUUCUUUUAUGGGUUGAAAUUAAUUUUUUGCAACGUUAAUUUUUUUUCAUGUUAGGUCUUUUUAUUUUAUUAAUUAUUAAUAUAAUUAAUUUACUACUGUAAAUUAUAUUUUUGUAAAUAAAAUAAUAUUCAACUGACCACAAUAAGGGCAAUUUUGAAAAAAACUAUGCUUUUAUGUCAGGAUUACUAAAUUUUAUAAACUGAACCAAACAUAUUAAUGUUAUAAACACUGUAAUCUAGUAUUACAUUACUGCAUUAAACCAAACGCGUUAAUGCAGCAUCAGUAGUAAUCUCACGCCGAAAUCUAAGAUCCCUGGAUAUGUCAAGAUACUUUGUAAUAUUAUAUAACUCGAACCAAAUGGGCCCUAAGAGUGUAAAUAGACUGCAAAAAAGAAAAGAGAAUAGUUGAUAGCUUUAAAAAAAAAAAUUAGUAAUAUAUAAAAAGUGAAAAAAUCUGUAAACUACAACAGUAUCGUAUAGUGUAAUCAAGUCAGUAAAAAAUUUAAACUUGUGUUUACAAGAGAGUUAAAGUUCAUACGCUCUUUGUUCAUUUUCCCCUUAAUCUAUAGAACUCUAUUAUUAGAUAUUUUUUUUUUAAAAUGGUUAAAAACGACGAAUAAUUCACCGUCUUCAUAAUUUCUUAUUAUAUCAGUCAGAAUUAUAGUAAAUAAAAAAAGACGGUUAAUAAUUUAUUAUUUUUGUGAAAAAUUAGGAACAGAAGAAGAACUAGUUUGCCAAUUUUAUUUUUCAUAGGGCUAUUUAUCCGAUUAGAAAAUUUUGUUGUAUCAUUUUGAAAAAAAGAAAAAAAGAAAAAAAGAGUCCGUGUGGAGCGGGGGAGGACGGAUUAAUUCUGAUUCCUCUGUCGGCAAUAAUCAAUCGAGUUUUGUUGGUUGGUUGGUUGGUCGCUAGCGAAGGCAGACAAAUUUCCUGAGCUUCGAUUGCAGUAAGUCUUCUCUAUCAAACCUCUUCCAAGAAACAUUCAAGAAAGUACUCUUUCGUGGAUCUUUCUUUGAUGCCUGCGCGCUAUUGUAACUAUCUACUCAGCUAAUUGUUUCGACAUCUGUGUUUCCUCAUCCUCUAAUUUCUGCACUCUCGGUGUUUGAUCAAUUGCCUGAGCGGUGGUGAAGCCGAUUAUGGCUUUAACCUUCAUAGCCGGAUCGGUGGCGUCGGCGAUCAUCGAUAGCCUCGUUAAGACGUGCUUUUCCUACAUCAAAGCUUACCCGGCGCUGCGAGGCGCGCGGGACGAGCUGGAAAGGCUGGAGCUGGUGCUUCCGCAGAUCCGGACAGUCUUGACUGCCGUGGAGGAGGCGGCGGUGUCGAUUGCAGAGCAGAGCGAGGCGCUGGAUACGUGGCUGUGGCAGCUCAGAGAUGCUGUGGAGAACGCGGAGGACGUGCUCGACGAACUGGAGUACUACGAGCUGAAGAAGACUAUAAAAGAUCGAGAUGACGAGGUGCGUGGCAUUCUCUCUACAUGCAAGAAAAAGUUCGACCGUUUUGUUAGUCAUAAAUUUAGCAAAGGCACACUGAAGCGGUUGAGGGAGGCUGUCAAGGGGUUAGAUAGGGUCGUUGCCGGUGUGGGGCCACUAGUUCAACUUGUUACUGGGUUAUACGGCCCUAGUGUUAAGCGUCAGAAGCUCGAGGAAAUCAAGAACACUCGCGAGACUAGCUCCUUGCUAACCGAAAGUGAGGUGCUUGGACGAGACAAGGAGAGGGACCUGAUAGUUGAAUGGCUGAUCAAACCGGGAGAUGCCGCUGUCGAUGUCUCUGCUUUUACAAUUGUUGGUAUGGGCGGGCUCGGGAAGACCACUCUUGCUCAACUAGUCUAUUGCGACGAAAGAGUGCGAGAGCACUUCGACCCGAUUAUGUGGGUUUGCAUUUCUUAGGAUUUCGAUGUAACUGUGAUAACAAGAAAGAUUUUAGAAUGUGUAAGUAGUGAGAAUUUUGGCGACAAGAGUCUACAUGCACUCCAUGCGAAUCUUAAACAAAAACUAACGUCGAAGAGGUUUUUGCUCAUACUGGAUGAUGUUUGGAACGAUGAUAAAAUGACAGAGUGGGAGAAAUUGGUUGCUCCUUUGAAAUUCGGACAAAGAGGAAGCAAGAUCCUGUUGACAACUCGAAUGGGUUCAGUUGCAGAUAUGGCGGCAAAAAUGAUGAAAUGCAAACGAGAAUCAUUAAAUCUAAAUGAGUUGGAGGAGAGCGAUUAUAUGUCGCUUUUCAAUAAGCAUGCAUUCCUUGAUGUGAACCCUGAUGAUUAUAAAAACUUGCAGCCGAUUGGUAAGCAGAUAGCGAAGAAGCUUGGAGGAUGCCCAUUGGCAAUAAAGGUCAUGGGAGGAAUGCUGAACUCUUGCAUGGACUAUAAAUAUUGGAAGAAAAUCUUGGAAGAAGACAUCAUGAAAUUACAACAAGGAAAGAGCAACAUCAUGACAAUUUUGAGAUUAAGCUACGAUCACUUAUCCACAAACUUACAACUCUGCUUUAGAUAUUGUAGUUUAUUUCCACAAGAUUAUAUGUUUAAAAAGAGAAUAUUGGUCGAUAUGUGGAUAGGUUCAGGUCUGAUUCCGCAGUCUAUUCGUGGAGAACAGAGGCCGGAGGACAUUGGAAAGGAGUAUUUAGAUCUUCUGACAAGAAAAUCAUUCUUUACUUGCAAAACCAGUGAAGAUUGGUUGAAAAUUUAUAAACACUAUUUUAUGCACGAUCUACUGCAUGACCUUGCAAAAUCUAUUUCUCUAGGGGAAUGCAUCAGAGGAGGAGGUGAUACUAUUCCACAGACAGUUCGACAUUUAUCUGUUGAAAUGGUCAAUCUUCUUUCCAUCAGAGAGAUCUCCAAUCUUAAGAAUGUGCGCACUCUAGUCAUUUCUGUUAAAGAGGAUAAUAAGCAUAAUGCAAAUCAUGCACUUGAAUUUAUUGAAGUUGUAAAAGGGUUUAAAAAGUUACGCUUAUUGAUCUUAGAUGUGAAUUUUGACUCUUAUAAACUGCCCAAUGCACUUAGUAGCUUGAUACACCUUCGCUACCUAUCUCUUUCACUAGGGAAAGUUGUGAAUGAAAGUAUUAAAUAUGAUGGCUUGACAAACUUGGUCAAUCUGCGUUCAUUAGAUGUUCCUAAUCAUGUGAUAAAAAAUAUUCCUUAUAUUAGCAAACUAACCUUCAUCCACAAAUUACAAAAUUUUAUUGUCCGAGAGGAGAGUGGUUACAAAAUCGGUGAACUAAAGAACUUAAGAGACCUUCAUAGUCUGUGUAUUAGAGAACUUGAAAAUGUGAGCACUUCUGAAGAAGCUACGGAGGCCAAGUUGAACGAGAAAGAAUAUCUCAAAUCAUUGACAUUAGAAUGGUCUAAAGGCCACUCCAAUAGAGCAGAGACGGAUGAGCAGCUCCUUAAUAACCUCUGCCCGCAUAUCAAUCUCAAGAGAUUGUGUAUUGCAGAAUACCAAGGUGUUAAAUCUCCAUGUUGGAUGAUAGAUCUGUCUCUCAUCAAUUUGACAACCAUCGAACUGAUUGAUUGUAAAGGAUGGGAGCAACUUCCACCUCUUGGGCAGUUUUCUUCGCUCCGAUAUCUUUUCUUGUCGGGACUACAUACAAUAAAGCAAAUAGAUUGUUCAUUCUUCGAAAGCAGCAGUGGAUAUGCCUUUCCAUCUUUGAAGGAGUUAUUCUUUGUGGACAAGCCUAACUUGGAGGAGUGGAUUGGAGUAAAUGAUGGGUGCAUGUUUCCUCAACUUCAUUCUAUGAGUAUUACUGACUGCCCUACUUUGAGGGAAAUUCCUACUCUGCUUUAUAGUCUAAGAGACUUGCAUAUUUCUAAUGUCGGAUUGACCGCUCUUCCAACAAUAAAUCAGGAUUACGCAAACAACAAUGUAAGUGAUUUACUUUAUAAACGUCAAAUUUCUUCCGAGGUUUAGCUUAUUUUCACUUGCCCCCCUGUAGUUCAAAAAGUAUCACUUUGUCUCCUCCCCCCUGUGGUUUAGCCUAUAUUCACUUUGUCACCCUGUGAUUCAAAAAGUUGCACUUUGCCCCCUGUAGUUUAGCUCAUUUUUCGCUUUGCUAUCCUAUGAUUUUUUAAACAUUUUUAAUUUGCCACACUAUUUCAUAUAGAAUUUUUUUGAUGAAAUAAAAAUUAAACCACAGAAAUGCAAAGCAAAACUUUUGAACCGUAAGGUGGAAAGGUAAAAAUGAGCUAAACCACACGGGGCAAUUUGAAGUUUACCCUUAUAUUAAAACACCAAUUCCUAUUUGCACGCAUAGCCGUGAUUGCCCGGACUUAAAUAUCUUUACAUCUUUUCUUUCUGCAGCAGCAAGAACAUUCUAAGCCUCUUGGAAGCUUAACCAUCAAACAAUGUGAGAAGCUCGAAUAUUUUCCAACAGAGCUUUUUGGAAAAUUGAACUCCCUACAUUUCGCACGUAUAGAGAAUUGCCCGAAGUUGACAAAACGUGGGAUCUCAGACAUCGAAGUGCCCUCUAUACUCAGUUCGCUCACUAUUGGAUCAUGUGGCGACCUUGAGGUGCCACUGCUGUGGUCAGCAAAUUUAACCUCUCUUACAUGGUUGGAAUUACUCGAUUGUGCAAGGAUAGCAUCCCUUCCCCCAGCACAAGUGUGUGCACGGUGGACGAUGCUUUCCCAUUUAAUAAUAAAGAACUGCAAAGAGCUGUCAUCAUUUGGUGGAAUACAAGCUCUCAUAUCCCUUCGUUCUUUAGAAAUUGAAGGGUGUGAUAAGCUAAUUGAAGUUGCCUGGCUGCAGCCUCCUUUCCCAAAUGAUGUCGGCCAAAGGAAUGCAGAGGACUGCUUUUUGAAGCAUGGUGAACUAUCAAUUGACCACCACGCGCUCCUGCUCAUGGAGCCAUUAAGAAGUCUCUCCUCCAUCAGCCGUUUCAUUUUCUCUAAUGCUUCGCAACUCACCGGCUUACCUGAGGAAUGGCUACUACAAAAUCAUGCUGCCCUCAAAUUUUUACGAAUAUGGAAUGCAAGCUCCCUUCAGUCCCUCCCCCAGAGCAUGACAAAACUGCGCUCCCUCGAGCGUCUCAAAGUAAAUGAUGCUAAACUCAUCCAGUCACUUCCAGAUCUGCCUACUUCACUGCAUUAUCUAUGCAUCACCAAGUGUCACCCUGUGUUGAUGGAGCGAUACCAUGAGAAUAUAGGCGUUGAUUGGCCUAAGAUUGCCCACAUCCCUGAUGUGGUGAUGAUUGCUCAGGAUUUGCUGAGUGAUGAUGAUUCAUAUUGUACGUACGCUUUACCACUCUUCAUCUCGCCCAUGCUACUCUCUGUAGUUAAUGCAAAUCAUUUCGAUCUUAAUGAACUACGUCUCACUCAUUCGAUCUUAACAAGGUCAUCUCAUUUGUUUCAGGAUUAAUUACCUUUUUUUCGGAUAAUGCCAGAGCAAUCAGGUUCGUCUUUAAUUACCAUCCUCAAUUAGGAAUUUUUUAUAUUUUGCACUCUUACUUUAUGGUUUGGAUACAUAAUUAGGGAAUAUAGCGCUAAUUCCACCCUAUAAUUAAUCCAUGAUGGUAUGCUCGCAGGACGGAUUGGUCCUGUAAAACAAACAAUGUAAUGAGUACAACAUAUGUUGCUAGCAUAUCAAUUGCUUUCUAAAGUUGCAUAUGACUAAUUGUGCAGUAAUUUGUGUCUUGAGGUGAAAAUAAGACUGAUGAGUUAGAACAUAAGAGAUGCGCGGCAAAAGCUUUUGCGUUCAUUUAUUUUCUUGGUGCAGGAUUGUAGUAGUACUCCUACAUAUAUAUAUGUCUCUCAAUUCUUUCAUGAAUAUAACAAGAGUAAAGUUUUGUUCUCCUAUUUUGUUGGUGCAGGAUUAGAGAGAGAGACUCCAUGUAUUUCAUUUUUUUCUUCUCUUGCCAAAUUAAUGUAAAAUCUUUACGGAUGAAAUUAUCCUAAAGAUAUAAUUUAGUGUUUGAAUAUUCUUGCAGAAAUAGCAAAUCGCAUAGCCUGGUCAUAAGCCUGUUCUGUUUUCGUCUGUUAUCUGAUGAAGCUGUUGAGCUUCUUUGAAGUAGCAGAAACAUCCAUGGCUUAACAUUGCUUUAAGAUGUGUUUCCAAUUUUUACGUUUCUUUAGCAGUAUAACAAGCACCCAGAUUGAACUCGCGUCCUUAAUUUCCGUGGUAUAAAUCGUACUUCAAAUUUGUUAAACUUUUUCAAGUUUCUAAUGCAGGUUGUAUCCACUUUCCGGAGUAAAUUUGACAGAUACUCCAUCGAUAACACUCAUACCGACAUCUCAUCGUAAAAUGAAAAUGAGGGCUACACUGCAGCAGGCAUCAACAUGCAACCAUGUCCUGCAGCUGCUUGCUUUUACUUUCUUUACAAUUUUCAAAAGAAAAUAAUAAUAAUUUCCUGAUGCAUUGAAGACAGAAAAGCACCCUCAAAACUCAAAUAGACCGACAACUGUUGCUUAUGUUCAGUUCAGUCUUCAAUCUCUGUAAGGUUGGUUUUGAUUCAAAUUUUCUAUCUACACUCCUUUGCGCAGUUCCUUAUUUUCAAACUGGGUUACAGAGGCAUAAAUAUAUAUAAUAUAUAUAUAUAUAUAUAUAUAUAUAUAUAUAAUAUAUUUGAAUAAACUAAAUUGUUUGAGGCCUCUGAAGCUAUAGCCAUUGUGAAAUAAACCUCAACUUCAUUUUUUUUUUUUUUUUUUGGUUGACACCCAUUCUUAAAUUCUAAUUUGUCUUUUUAUUGUGUUCUUUAGUUAGUUAAAAGUGAAAAUUUUGUGAUGUUUAAUAACUCUAUUAUCUAUUGGUUGUUUCAGUUUUAUUUGCUAAAAGAUAAUUAAAACCAUUAGAUUGACGGAAAUUCUAAUCUACCAAAUACUUCACCGUUUUUGAGUAAAUUGAAUAAAUAUAAUGAAUAAGAUAUUCAUGCAUUUAAAUACAUAGCUCACGUCGAAAAUACAGGAAUAGAAGGAAUAAGAUAUUCAGAUAUUUGGUUUGGGCAUUUUACACUCUCCGAUGCCAAAAUAAUUAUAUAUCUUAAGAAAAACACUGUAUAUGAUUUUUGAAAUUGUUUUCAGAUGAAAAAAAAUAAAAACUAAAAAGCCAGUAUCUGUUCUCCGUCACACGUCUACUUUCCUACAUAUUUUAUUUUCUUUUCUUUCAAACCGAGCACUUGUGCUUCCAUCCCAAUUUCAUUUUACGCCAAACCAAAUACUAAGCAGUAGAUUAUUUUUUUUUUCAUAUAAUUUAAUGUCUCUUAAAAACUAUUUUUACAAAGUUUAAUUAUGUGUUAGCAAACACCACAUUAUGCAGUGAGAAACAGUUGCCUGUACCCGGUGUAUACAUUAACUAUAUGCACCACACGAUAUAUAUUUGGUCUAAUAAAUUUAAUCUAAAAUAUCUAAUAAGAGUAGAUUAAAAAAAAUUAUGAAUUUUGGGAACGUAUUAUAGUAGAGAAAGAGGCAAAAGUCGUUCAAUUUGAAAAAAAAAAAAAAAAAAAAAAAAAAAAAGGUAGUGUCCAAAAUUUUUAUGUAUAAAAAAAAAAAAUCAGUGUCCAAAGUUUUUAAAUUUCAUACAUUAAGAUUUAAAUUUAGAUUAAAUUUGAAAUUUAAAAUUUAAACUUUAAAAUUUUGAAAUUUGAAAUUUAAUAUUUGAGAUUUAAAAUCUAAAAAUUAAUAUCUAAAUUCAAAAUUUUGAAAAUUAAAAUCUAAAAUUUAAAAUUUAAAAUCUAAAUUUAAAUUUAAGCUUAAAAUUUGAGUUCAAAAUUGGAUUUACAGUUUAAGAAACAGGUUUUAACUAUUUCUGAUUUUGGAUCUCUAAAAUUAAAAAAAUAAUUUUAAAAAUCAAAAUUAGAUUUUGAAAAACAAGUUAUCAAAUGCCUAAUUAAAGGAAAAAUUAUUUUUGGAUCUAAACUCACUUUCACAUUAACGGUGGGUUAGAUUUUAAUUUUCUUAGUUCUAAAACAUUUGUCCAUUUCAGAGAUGCGGUGUAUAGAUAUGUGCCUGUACACCAGGUGCAGGUAAUAUUUUGGCGCACGCAGUUGCUCCUCCCUCACUUAUGCAGGUAUAUGUAAUUUUUAUAAUCAAUUUCCUAAAUCAAGACUCAAAUCAAUUAGAUGUUAUUAAGGUAUCAAUGGUAAGAGAAAGGGGUCGUUAUUAAUUUGUUAUUAUCCAAAAUUUAUAACUAUUUACAGGCUUAAUUAUAUUUUCUUUUCUCCUACAUAUAUAUCACUAAACUUUUUUAUUUUCUCUCACCAAUCUCUAUACUUAGGUUAACAAAUCAAUUAUUUUUAAAUAAAAUUUAAUAAUUUUAUUAAGAGCCACUGGUUAAUCUUUUGCAAAGUUUGGCUCCAACUAUGGAAAAUUGCAAACUAAUUGAAGUUCGAGGACUAAAGUGGUACACGCCUCAUAGUUCAAGAAAGAAAUUACAGCAAAUUAAAGUUCGGGGACUUGUCACACAUCUCACAAUUUAAGUCAAAAAUUACAACGAAUUAAAAUUCUUUUUUUUUUUUUUUGAAAAACGAUAGCAUGCUAUCAUUUCAUUCAUUUGAAAGAUGAACUCAGCUACAAUUUGAGGCAGCUUGGCAUCUGUUUUUUAGGGAAAAAAAAAGUAGCAAAAAAGAUUUCAGGUGUUUCUAAGCGAGCGUAUCUCGGUCACUAAACCACCUACAAUUCGAUUAGAAUUCUGAAAAAUUCUUCUAUUCUGCUCCAACCAAACGACCCACCACAUUGUGGCAAUUGUCGCUAAUUCCCUCCCGCCCAGCACUCCAUUUUAUGCCGGCUCCCAUCCCAGAGCAAAGUGGCAGUAUUACAAAUACGAAGAGCUAGCUUAUUGGGGAUAUUAAAACCCUCUAGUAGAGCUAUGAGAAAGUCACAUCCCAUAAAUAGGUGAUCUACAGUCUCACUCUCGUUGAGACCGAGAAUACAAAAUCCAUAUCUCAAUCUAAAUCAGUUGAGUUUUCGCUUGUAUAUCUUUAUCAAAACGAUAUUCAUUUAGUAUUAAAUAGAUCCACCGUUUGAAUUCAUUUUCAAAUAAAAUUUUAGAUAUUUGUUUAGACUUUGUCUUGAAGUGUGGAAAAAUUUGUUUAGAAUUUGUCUUGAAGUGUGGAAAAUUUUGUUUGGAAUUUGUUUAGGAGUGUGGAAAAACUUCCUGCACUUUGACUCUUGUAAGUCUUCUCUACGAAACUUCCAUUCUAUUUCCUCCCCUCAUCCAAGAAGCAUACAAGAAAUUUUGGCUCCAACCAAUGAGAAAUUGCAACUAAUUAAAGUUUGAGAUUAAAAUAUUACGCGCUGCAUAGCCCAAGUCAAAAAUUGCGCCGAAUUAAAAUUCGAGGACUUGUCACGCAUGUUACAAUUCGAGCGAAAACUUGAGAAAAUUCGAGAACUAAAGUGUAUAGUUUGAGCAUCAAAGUGUAAUUUAGCCUUAUGUUUGAAUUUAUUUCUAAAUGAAAUAAACGAAGCAAGUAGCGUGCUAUCUAUUUCUCAAAAAAAAAAAAAAAAGCAUGUUCCAUAUUUUUUUUCUAUAAUUUAAUGCUUCAAUAAAAUAAAAUUAUUUUUAGUAGUUUUUUUGUGUAACCAAACACCACACAUUAUAUGCACUGAGAAACAAUUGCCUGUACCCAGUGUACACAUAUAUGUGCACCGCACCAGUAUAUGAUCCCAUAUGUUUGAUCUAAAAUAUCUAAAGAGCCUAUACUGGAAAAAUUGUGAUUUUUUGAAAAGGGUAAACUUCAAAUUGCCUCCUUGUGGUUUAACUUAUUUUUAUAUUAUCGUUCUAUUGUUCAAAAAAUUAUAUUUAAUUAUUCUAUAGUUUAGCGUAUUUUUUACUUUGUAAUUCUAUAAUUAUUUUCAAAAUUUUUUACUUUACCAUCCCAUUGAACACAAUUUUUUUUUGGUGAAAUGAAAAUUAAAUCAUGUAGAUACGGAGUAGCCUUGAGAUUUAGAGGCAGAAAAAGGAUAAAAGUUUAUUUGAUUUAUAAGAAAUCGGUGUCAAAUUUAUUUAUUUAUUUAUUUAUAUACAUUUACUAUAAAAAAAAUGAUCUAUAGCGGCACUUUUAAAUAUCGGUACAGGUCAAAAAAAGUACUGCUGGCUAAAUUACCGACACUUUUAAAAAGUGUUGCUAUAUGUGGGGUUGCUAGGUAUAUAGUGACAGUUAAACAGUGUUGCUAUAAUCUAAAAAAGUGCUGCUAAUUUAUCAACACUUAUUUAAGCAUUUAGCAACCGCCGGAACUCUCCCUCGUUGGCUGCGGUGACAGAGGAGGACGAGAGGGAAGGGCUCUUUGACUAGGAUUUCAGUGGAUUGAGUUAGAGGAGAAUGGGAGAUCGUAAUCGAUUUUUCUUUUUUUAUUCUUUUCUAUUUGUAAUCUGGCCAAAUGAGCUGGGUGAGGUAGGUUGAGUAGAGUAACUUUUUAUUUUUGGUUGGAUUGGGCUUUAUAUUUAGGCAUUAUUAGAUUUUUCUUUAAAUUUUGGCAUAAAUUGAACACUUACACAAAAGUGUCCCAAACAUGUGUUUCUAUAACCUAAUUCCGUUGUAGUGAUUUGAUAUUUAAAUACAAAAGAUGCAGCCAAUAAUUAAUUCCCUUAUGUAAUUACUUCUAUGUAAUUUUUCAAUGCGUAACUUUUUAAAAUCCAAGCCCAAUUCAAUUAAUAUCUACAACAAUAAAGGGAUUAUAUAUAAAAAAAUUACAAGAUUUAUAAAAAAUAUAUAUUUAUGUAACAUCAAGUAAAAUAAAAAAUCAGUGACUACCUAUAAUGCAUCGGUCAAAUACUAGAUUAAAUUUAAACUAAUAUAAAAAAAUUUCCUGUAAAUAUUCGUCUUUUCUCUUUCUCCUUCUGACUUUUAAAAAUAAAUUCAUCUUUUUUCUUUCUCCUUCUAACUUUUAAAAAUUUAUAUAUUUUAUGCCUCAAAGUUUCAAGUUGAUGUACUUAUAUAGUCUCCGCCGACAGAAUUCUAUUACUGUCCCAUCUCUUUCUUUUAAUUUAUGACUGGAUAUAUUCUUAAAAAUAUAUAACAAAACUAAAUUUUUUUCCGUAGAAUUGAGUAACGGUAGUUUUGUCAUUUCACCCACUUCAAUAACAUUGUAAUUCUCUUAAAAAUAUCUGAAAUUUUUAGAGGCAAAACGUAGAUUGUUUAUAAAUCAUUAAAAAAAAAAAGAAAAGGUGAGUAUUUUUAUAAGAGUUUUCUGUAUUUUAGUCUUAGUUUUAAUCUUAAGAUCUCUAUCACAAAAGUUUGGAAAUGAGAUGUAUGCGACACAUAGCAUGUAUAUGAUGUACUUAUAAAUAUGUAGGCAAUAAUUUCCCUUGUGACUACUUUGUAAAUUUUGUAUGGCCAAAACCCAAUCUAGUAUAUGUCAUCUAUCCCAAUAAACAUACAAUGUAUGAAAAUUUCUAAGGCUUAAAAUAUUUUUACAAUAGCAUUAAGUAGUUUUUUUUGUAAAUUUUAUUACACUGUUAAUUUCUGAACUUUGGGUAGAAUUUUUCUUUACCGUCUAAACUCAUAAAAUGAAUAUCUAAUAUUCUAAGCUCUAAAUAUUUCAUUCAUAUUGCUCUUUUCAUCAUACCGUCUAAACUCAUUCAUAUUGCUAUUUAUCAUAUAUAUAUAUAUAUACACUAUUGUUUUGGUGGAGUUUUUUUUUUUUUUUUUUAAAUAGAUAGCAUGCCAUCCGUUUCGUUUAUUUUAUUUAGAAAUAAAUUUAACUAAAUGAUGUGGAAUGAUUAUAUCAACAACCAAAAUCAUUAGGAAAGAGUUAAUUAAAGUUCAGAGGCUCUUUGUACAUUUUCCCCUCGCGUGAUAUAUAAGCCUUUAUUAUUGGCUAUACAGACAAUAAUUUCUCCCUCGGAAAGGGUGUGGAGUGGAGUGGGGCCGGACAGACGCCUAUGUCAGCAAUAAUUGAGUUUGGUUGGCUGUUGGCUGUUGGCUGUCAUAGAAGGCAGCCAAAUUUGACCUGUAAGUCUUCUCUAUUCCUUUUCUACAUGCAGUUAAUUUUUUUGCGUAAAGAGAGAUACCAUAUAUACCACCUGUGUUUAUACAUUACCUAAUAAGUGAGAGUGAAUGUUUUCAGCGUCGCUCUUUUCACAUUCUCUAUCUUUUUGGCACUCCAAGUGUUUGAUGAAUUGCCUAAGCGGUGGUGAAGUAGCUGUGGUCUGAGCUUAUUAAUUAUCUGGAGGAUUAUAUGGCUUUACCUUUCAUAGCUGAAUUGGCGGCGUCGGCGAUCAUCGAGGAUUAUGGCUUGACCUGCAAGUCUUCUUGACGAAACACUUCCAUUUCAUUUCCUCCCCUCUUCGGAGAAGCAUUCAAGAAAUUACUCCUCCCCAGUUUUUCCUUUUUGGUAUGUCCUAGCUAUAUGCUUUUUUCUUUUUUUUUUUUUUGAGAGAGAUAGAUAGCACGCUACCCGUUUCGUUUAUUUCAUUUAGAAAUAAACUUAGCUAGAAAUGUGAAACAAUUAGGAUUCGAACUUAUAACCUCGAGUAUCAACCACCAAGCCCUUUGCCACUUGCGCUAGGGACGGUCGAUCUAUAUGCUUGUUAGAAAUUUGAAACAACUGCUUGUCUCAAUAAGCUUUACUUGCUUGCUACUGAAUUAAAGUGGGCAUAUUUUGAUUUAGUGUUUGAUUUCUGAAAAAAUAUUUUUGAAAAUAAUUUUCUAGCUGAAUUUAUUUGUCAUGCCCCGGAUUACUCGUUACCCUGGGCACGCAAACAGACCAGCCGUAUACAUAAAAAUUUUCUUGUAUACGAAGCGAUAGCUGUACCUGUAAUCAUACAACACUACACCAGUAGUAUAGAGCUGCUAAAAAGAAAGACAUAUAAAAACAACAGAGGUUCACUAUACAUACAUAGCAUCCUGUUAUACAAAAAUCACUCGCUCCAGUGAGUUACAAUAUCUAUAUGUAAAAGAAUCCAAAAACUACAACUACCUGUAGUAGGCACUCCUCUAGCUCUGCAGCAAAACUGGAAAGGCUCUAACUCGCAAUACCCUUUCCACGAUCAGUCUCGGCAGUAGCAGCAGCCGCAAUAGAAGGCUCUGCAAAAAGUCACCAACUUGGUGUGAGAACUACUACAAAAAGAAGUAGUCCUCAGUGGAUACCACUACCGACCUCAACGGCUCACCCACUAAGUCUACAAAUGUAAGUAAAGAUAGUAAAGAAAGCUGGAACAAAUCUACACUAUAAGUCACUAUACUAUCAUAGUCCAACAAUAACAAUCUGUAGAAAAAUGAAAUUCCUGACCCAAUCUAACUAGAGACUGUGAACACAUCCGUUCCGGCUGGUCGAAGCUACAUUAACUGCCACCACGCUAGGUCGUCAGUGGAGAGCAAGUCCAAACAGGACAAACCGACAUCAAUACAAAAGCAUUAAGUCCAACUCCGGAGUGACACGCGUGGGCGCUACCAAAUUAAGUAUGCAAACGUAUUUCUGUCGAGCUCAAUCAGGCUCUCACAGACUAUAAUCAAAGCGGAAAGGUCAAACUGGUCUAACUACCAAAACUCACGUGCCCUUGGCACAAUCUGAUGCAAAAAUAGCAAACUGGGUCCACCGUCAACCUCAACUGCACCCGACAGUCCAGAACAGCCUAAACACUGCUGUAAAAAUAAGCUCGUCACCUCAGCACGAGCGUAAAUGCAUUCUACACUAUUCUGGGUAUCCAUCGAGUGGAUACAAAAAUGAACGAUUGAAAAUGAAUAUUCUUUAAAGAAUGAUGAUAGGAGUCUUGUAAUCAAGAUCAAGAGUAUAGAUCUUAUUUUAAAUAGCUUAAAGAAUUUUCUAACAAAAAUUCAGUUGAUUUGGAUAUCUUUACGCCGUUAAACGAAAAAACACCUCGUAUCGACCAUUAAAAUUAUAAAUUUUGAAACCCUUUGAUCAUUAGGCAAUUGAUGUCGAAAAGAUUUGAAAUUUGAUUUCUAAACACUUUAAGUGGUAUAGAUCAUGUUCAACGGUGCCGAUCGUUGAUAUCUGUCGUUUUCAAGUGUAACGAUGUAGAAGAAUUCAAAUCAUAUGAAAUUUUGAUAUAAAAUUCUUUAUACUAUCUAUAACAAGAUCAAUAUUUCUGAUCGAAAAUUUUAGUGCUAUAUCACCACUUUUUAUAGAAUUUUUAUUUUCAACCGUUAAAAAUUAUAGAUUUUGAAUCAUUUCAAUUGCUAGGUAAAUGAUAUCGAAAAAUCGCAAAAAUUAUUUUAUAGAAACUUCAAAAUACGCUAGAUCAAGUCUAACGAAGCCGAUCGUCGAUUCGAAAAUCCAAUCAUCAAAAACGGCUUAGGAGCACGGAGGCCUUCGUACUCCUGAGAGUACAGCAGUCGUGCUCUACAUGAGUAGGUCUUGUGUGCUCUCAAGAGCACAAAGCCCGUUGUGCUCCUGAGCCGUUUUCGAUGAUGGAACUUCCGAAUCGACGAUCGGCUCCGCUAGACUUGAUCUAGCGCAUUUGAAGUUUCUAGAAAAUAAUUUUUGCGAUUUUUUGAUACCAUUUACCUAGUGAUCAAAAGGAUUCAAAAUCAAUAAUUUUUAAUGGUUGAUAUCUUUCGUUUUUAAAUUUAAUGGUGUAGAAAUAUUCAAAUCAGAUGAAAUUUUGAUACAAAAUUCUUUAUACUAUCUAUAACGAGAUCAAUAUUUCUGAUCGAAAAUUUUAGUGCUAUAUCACCACUUUUUAUAGAAUUUUUAUUUUUAGCCGUUAAAAAUUAUAGAUUUUGAAUCAUUUCGAUUGCUAGGUAAAUGAUAUCGAAAAAUCGCAAAAAUUAUUUUCUAGAAACUUCAAAUACGCUAGAUCAAGUCUAACGGAGCCGAUCGUCGAUUCGAAAAUCUAAUCAUCAAAAACGGCUCAGGAGCACGGAGGCCUCCGUGCUCCUGAGAGCAUAGCAGUCCUGCUCUAUAUGAGUAGGUCUUGUGUGCUCUCAGGAGCACAAAGCCCUUUGUGCUCCUGAGCCGUUUUCGAUGAUGGGACUUCCGAAUCGACGAUCGGCUCCGCUAGACUUGAUCUAGCGCACUUGAAGUUUCUAGAAAAUAAUUUUUGCGAUUUUUUGAUACCAUUUACCUAGUGAUCGAAAGGAUUCAAAAUCAAUAAUUUUUAAAGGUUGAUAUCUGUCGUUUUCAAGUUUAACGAUGUAGAAGUAUUCAAAUCAGAUGAAAUUUUGAUACAAAAUUCUUUAUACUAUCUAUAACUGUCACGCCCCGGAUGUCUCGUUCCCCAGGCACGCCGACAAAUCCGCCGUAUAUAAAGAAAUUUUUUCUGUAUACGAAGCGACAGCUAUACCUGUAAAUAUACAAUACUACAAACAGUAGUAUAGAGCUACUCGAGGAAACAGAAGCUAAACAAACUGAGUUUCAUAUACAUAGUUCAAAAACUAAAAUACUGUGUUACUCGCACUGGCGAGCUAAGUAUACUAUGUACAUAAACUCAAAAUAAAACAACUACCUGCAGUAGGGUGCCUCUAGCUCUGCUCGUCGGGUAGGGCUCUAAUUCGCGACGCCCUUGUCUCGAUCCUGAUCUGCGGAAGGCGCAGCAGCCGAAACCUGUGGCUCUGCAAAACAGGGGUAACAACUGGGCGUGAGAACUACUGUAAAAACAAGUAGUCCUCAGUGGGUGCCGCCCAAAACAACAUCGGUCCACCCACUAAGUCUACAGUAGGGAGCAAAGGUAGUAGUAAAUGCUGGAAUAGACUCUACAGCUACUAGUCACUACACUAUCCUGCUCUAUGCUAACCAACUGUAGGAAAGGUCAAAACUGGCUCAGUCUCACUAGGGACUGUGAACACACCCGUCCCGCCUGUCGGAUCGAACUCGAGUCCUACUCCAGGAAUAGCUGGUGGAGAAAACUCUCUAGGGACUGUGAAUACACCCAUCCCGUCUAAUUAGGUAACACCGUAGCUCAAGAGUAACCGGCGGAAAAAACUCUCUAGAGACUGUGAAUACACCCGUCUCAUCUACUAGACUACACCGUAUCUCAAGAGUAACCGGCGGAGAAAACUCUCUAGGGACUGUGAAUACACCCAUCUCGCUUAAUUAGAUUGCACCGUAUCUCAAGAGUAGUCGGUCCCGAAAAAGGUCCAACAGGAUGGCUAAGACCCCACUCACGUCACUACCUCACUAUCUCACCCGGGCUGCCCAAAACGGACCCACCCUGCCUGUAUCUAGCUGCGCCGUACACCACCCCGUGGGUAGCCGGCUUAAGAACUGUCCAACAGAAACUGCGACACUCAUCGCACUGAAACCUCAUUUCGGAAUGGCAUUCGUGGGCGCGACCCAACGAGUUUACAAGUAUCUCUGUUAAGUUCACACGGCUCUCACAGGCUAAGGUCAAGUAAACGACUCUAACUAGUCUAACAACCAACAUGUCACGUGCCCUCGACACAAUCUGACGCCAAAACGGCGAUACGGGUCCACCGUCAACCCCGACAGCACCCAACAGUCCGGAACAGCCUAAACGCUACUGUAAAAAUUCACUCGGCAUCCCAGCGUGAGUGUAACUGAAAUCUAAACUACCCGGAAUACUUGCUAUGAUGAUACUGCAACAGUAUAAAAUCAUACAACGGCCCCAGGGCUAAAUCAUCCAGUUUAAACAGGUGACAGAUCCAAAUCGCAGGUUUUCUCCUAAUUCAAAUUCCAAGUCCAACAUGUAUAAACUACUCAAUUAAUUACCACAUGCUCCAAAUUCAGAUUUGCAAUCUACAAUAUAAUCCAUGAAUUCGAGCUAGAAUAGAGUAUCCAAAAAUCGAAAUCUACAUGCCGACGAUUAUGAACUUAGGAGUAAAACCGAUGUAAACCCACCUCAAGAAGCAAGCUCCUGGCAGCGAACGAAGCCUCGAACCAAAGUGAUCCCUGCUGGAUCAACUGGAAUCCUCCAAGUCUAGUACUCGAGCUAACUCCAAGCUCUACGAUCAAAAUCCACUAAUUCAGUCCGAAUUUCGCUGCAACAGAGUAGAAAAGGGAUUCGACCAAGCUAACCUUCACCAAAUCCAGCAAGUAAGGGCUUCGUGGAUUCCUCUCGAAGUCCUGAAUCCAGCGAACCAAGUCUCGUCAAAAUCCGAUGUUCCUGCGUCGAGUACGAGCUGAAAUACUCACAGUCGACGAUGAAUUUCAGCAAAACAGCACUUAAGCUCGAAUUACUGAUGCUUGGAGAAAUGAAGAAGCAAUUCGACGGAACAUUCACCUCGAUAGCGACUAGCACCGGCGUGACGUCAAGAACAGCGAAGCCGCCGUCCCGGUCUCCGACCCGCCAGAACAACGCGGGUAUCCUCAAACGGGGCGGCGAGCGGCGCGACGUCGGCGUUACGAACGGUUUCCUGCCAACGGAGAGAGAUAGAGGAGAGAGUGGAAGUAAAUGCAAUUGCAAGGGAUCUUUCUUCUUCUCUCUAACGAGGUAUAUAGAGAGAGAAGGUUGUUGGUGGAGUACAAACAAAAGGUUUAUACCUAUUAUGCCCUCACACCCCUUACCUACCCUUACGGACGAGCCAACCCGGGAGAGUCGCAAACCCACCGGUGUGUACUACAUGUCCAUCUGUUGUUUGCUGUCUGUUUGUUGUUCGGGUUAUCAGCAGAGGCAGGAGAAUUCUGGUUUUCCAGUGAAUUCUUCGGAUCGAUACAGCUGCGCUCCCCGAAGAGCGGCGUGUACUGACCCUUUUGCGUUUAUUGACGCCUCAACGCGACUCGGGCUUGUCCCGGGAUCACUUGCUCCUAGUGUGUGUGGUGCUGUGGUGGAUGUGGCGGGGGUGCGUGUGUGGUCUCAAAUGACCGAGGAGGUCUACGGUGUUGGAACGACGUUAAAGAGAAUCGUGAAGGAUAGUCAAGUUGGAAUUUGUUGUGUUUAGGAAAAUUUUGUGUUAGUGAACUAUUUUUGAAGAAUAAGGGAUCUUGUAGUAGCCUUGAUCUUGAUUACAGACUCCUGAUCAUAUUUUUUUCAGAUAUUGAUUUUCAGCGGUCAUUUGUUAUCCACUCGAUGGAUAGAGUGAUGACUAUAUCGAAAUUAGUUAUAAAGUUCUGGAUUUUUAAAUACUCUCAAAUGGGAUACGUAUCCAUGUAUCGAACGGCUGCGAUCGGUCGAUUUGGAGGCCCGCGAUUCGGAGUCGCAAAAAAAUGUUGGUGGCAAAAGUGCCCGUCAGUUUGGCUCAUCGAUAGUAUUCUAGCUCAAUUCUCUUCUCUCUCUACCUACCUCUCUACUACUAAUUAUAUAUCUUAUUAUUAUUAUCUUAUUAUUAUAAAUAUAUACUAUAUUAUUUAUUAUAUAUAGUAUUUUAUUUUUCGAAUAGAAAUUUUAUUAUAUAAUAUUUAUUUAUAAAUUUAGUAAUUAUGCUUAUUAAUUCCCCCCCUUCUAAAAUAUAACUCUUAUUUUAUUAAUAUAUAUUUAUUAUAAUUUUAAAUAUAUUAAAUCUAUAUAUAAAAAUUAUAAUAAUAAUAUAUAUAGUAUAUUAAUUAUUAUAUAUUUAUUAUAUAGCCGAAUUUUUUAUUCUGAAUUUUUAAUUGGUGAACGUAUAAUAUCUGUAUAAAUCACGUAUCCGAAUAAUUGCUGAAUCCGUUUUUUAGCCGUAUUUUUCAACGAAUUUAAAACUUAAAAGACGAAUUUUAUCCGAAUUAUAUCCGUACCGAAUUUUUGCCGAAUCCGAAUUAACUAACUACGGGCUGUCAUAGAAGGCAGACAAAUAUGAAUAAUUGAGAAGCAUUCAAGAAAUUACUCCUCACCAGUUUUUUUUUUUUGGUAUGUCCUAACUAUAUGCCUGUUAGAAAUUUGAAACAACUGCUUGUCUUAAGAAUUCGGGCAUGUUUGGUAACUCGGAAGUCAGCAAAGUGGAAAAGUCACUUUUAUAAAAGUAACUUUUCAGUUCAAUUGUUUGGUUGCUAUAAGGUUAAAAUUAAAACUAUAAUUUUAUAUUUUUUAUUAUUAAAUUAUAUAUAAAGAGGUAAAAAUGUAAACAAACAACUUAUACUUGUAAUUUAAAUUAAAAUUUUAAAUUUAAAUUAAUAUUUAGAAUCAAAAUUAUAUUUUAAAAUUUAAAUCUGAAUUGAAUUUAUAAUUAAAAUUUAAGAUAAAAAUUAAAUUUAUAAUUUUAAUUUACAGUUUAAUUUAUAACUCAUAACUAAAAUUAAAUUCUAAAAUAAAAGUUCAACAUAGAAAUUAAAAAAUUUAUUUAAAUUUGAAUUCAUAAUUUGAAUUAUAUUUUAAUUUACUCUUUGAUCUUAAAUUGUAAAUUCAAAUAUGGAUUCACAAUUUGAAUUAAUAUUUAAUUUAAUUAAAAAUUUGAGUUUAAAUCACAAUUCAAAUUGAAUAUUUUAAUUUAUAAUUCGAAUCUAAAUUUCAAACCGAAAUUCUUUAUUGAAAUUAAAUGUAAAUAGAAAAUUUAAAAUUGAAUUUGAAUUUCAACUUUAAAUUUAAAUUUUAAAUUCAAAUUUCAGUCCAUAAUUUGAAUUUAUAAUUGGAACAAUUUGAAUUCAAAGUUCAGAUUCAAGUUCUUAGCUAAAAAUAUUUUGAUUAAAAUUCAAAAAAUUUAAACUUUAAAAUUCUAGAAUUCAAUUUAAAUAAAAUAAAAUCUUGAAUUUAAAUAUAAAGUCAUAAAUUUGAAUUAAAUUUUUAUGUUGAAAUUUUUUAAUUCACAAUUAAAAAUUCAAAUGUGAUUCAUAAUGUUAAUUCAAAUUUAAAAUGAAAUUAAACUUUAAAAAUAAAUUUAAAUAUUUAAAGUUAAGGCCAAAUAUAAACCUCUUAGCUAAGUUCUUCAUCAGGAGCUUCGACAUUUUUGAUGCGCGAAGUCAAAAAAAGUAGAAUUUAGACUAUAAACUCACUUUAUCACCCAUUUUCGUAAAAUGACUUUUAUACUCAUUUUCGUAAAACCAAACAAACGAUACAGACGUCACUUAAAGUAUGCCAUUUUCCGAUAACUACACUUGCCGAGGAACCAACAUGCCCGAAGGUUAACUUGUUUGCUACUGAUUAAAGUGCAUCAUUUCGAUUAGUCAUUCUGAUUUCGCGCCAGAAAUAUUAUUGAAAAUAAUUUUCUAGCUGAAUUAUUAUUAUUAUUUUUAAUGUAAGCUUGUUAGUUUCUAAAUUGUUAUCGGCGAAAAUUAUCCUCCCUAUUCAAAAAUAACAAUCAUAUAUUUUUUUCCCGAAAAACACUGAGUUUCAAUUUUUUUUUAAAAAAAAAAUAAAUUAGGGCCAUCGAAACCGCCGCUUAAUUAGUGGGGGGCUUUUGUUGUCAAAUAAAGCAUCCAUACUUUAUUUCCUCCCCUCUUCCGAGAAGAAUUAAUACAAGAAAAUACUACUCUUCGCGGAUCUUAAUUCUUUGAUGCCUGCGUGCGAUUGUAUCUAUCUACUCAGCUGAUUGUUUCGACAUCUCUCUUUCCUCAUUCUCCAAUUUUCUGCACUCCAGGAUCGAGUUUCAUCAAUUGCGCGCCUGAGCAGUGGUGAAGUCGAUCAUGGCUCUACCUUUCAUAGCCGGAGCGGUGGGGACGGCGAUCAUCGAGAAGCUCGUUGAUACAUGCUUUUCCUACCUUGAGGUGGUGUACCCGGCGCCCAGCGGCAUGCAGGACGAGCUCGAACGGCUACAGCACGCACUUCCGCAGGUCCUGGCAGUCUUGACUGCGGUCGAGGGCGGUGCGCCGGACAUGGUGGAGAACAAGGCGCUGGAUGCGUGGCUGUGGCAGUUUAGAGACGCUGUGGAGAACGCGGAGGACGUGCUCGACGAGUUGGAGUACUACAAGCUAAAGAAGACUAGAGAGGAGGCUCGAGAUGGCGAGGUGCGUGGUUUUCUAUCUAACUUCAAGAGAAAGUUUAAUAGUAGUCUCUCUGAUUUCUUUAGCAAUGACACACGGAAGCGGUUGAGGGAGGCCGUCAAGGGGUUGGAUAGGGUCGUUGCCGAUAUGGGGCCAUUCCUUCAACUUGUUACUGGGUUUUAUGGCCCUAGUGUCAAGCGUCAGCAGCUCGAAGAUAUCAUAAAAGCUCGACAGACUAGCUCCUUGCUAACCGAAAGUGAGGUGCUCGGACGAGACAAGGAGAGGGACCAGAUAGUUGAAUGGCUGAUCAAACCGGGAGAUGUUAAUGUUGAUGUCUCCGCUUAUACAAUUGUUGGCAUGGGUGGGCUCGGGAAGACUACUCUUGCUCAACUAAUCUGUCGUGAC